rnacentral:lncRNA from 1 species
AGCAAUAUUUUCUAUCAGAAUUUGUAUCAAAUGUAAUGAACAAACAAAUAGAUUGGUGUCAGAUUUCAAACAUAUUUGAAGUUACUCUGUUUGUUUCUCCGGUAACAAACAAGCAAGGCAGUUUAUACAAUACAUCCAUUCAUACGGUUACAACCAUAAGCUAAGUGCAUCACUCACUGAUACAUAUAUACAUAAAUAUAGGUGCACAUAUGCACAGAUAAAGUACAUCACACACUGUAUAUCUCACCGUCGUCUUCCUCCGAUACCACAGUCAAUUCCUCCUCCGAGACCGCUGUCAGCUCCGAAGUGAAAUGGUAAGAGUCCUCUACGUGGAUGUGCCCUUCAUCGCAGAAAAAUGGCCUCGAAGGCAUCUGUAGGCCAUCAACUCCAGCCUCCAGGAUCUCAAUGACCUCGCUCAUCGUCGGCCGAUCACGAGACCUCAUCUGAAUACACCAUAAUGCAACAACGCACAGCUUCUUCUCCAGCUCGUGCAUGUUGGCAGCAACUGGAGAUAUCUCGCCCGCUUCUUCUUGAGUCAGCCGGUCAUACACCCAUGAGGGGUAGUAUGCCUGGCUUGAGGACCCCAUGUUUGGAUCAGCGUUCCUUCUCCCGCCGGCCAUCUCCAGGAGCAACAUCCCGAAGCUGUACACGUCGGACUUGCUGGAUAUGACGCCGAAGCUCCGGGAUAUCAUCUUGGGGGCUAUGUAGCCGAUGGUUCCCCGCAUGGCACUUAGUGGCACGAAACUGUCACUCCUCGGAUACAGCUUGGCGAGCCCGAAAUCGGCGACCUUUGGGAUGAAAUUGCUGUCGAGAAGGAUGUUGUGCGGCUUGAUGUCAAAGUGCAGAAUCUGCAUGUCACAACCCUGAUGUAAGUAGUUGAUCCCCCUUGCAAUGCCCAGAGCCAUCUCGUUGAGCUUGUCCCAUACACUAACAAACAAAGAACUCGCAACCAACACGACAAAGGGUUGUCAAUCCCUUCACGACCACUUGCGAAAGUGAGAUCUGAUAGAGAUAAUAUGAUAAGAUAAAUAUAUUUUUGGUAUUUUAUAAUAUAGAUGCAGAAAAUAAAGAUGCAAAUAAAAGUAGAUUGGAAGCAAAUAUGAUAAAAGAUAGACCCGGGGGCCAUAGGUUUCAAUAGUGGCUUCUGUCAAGAGCAAAAGUAUUACGGUGGGUGAACAAAUUACUGUCGAGCAAUUGAUAGAAAAGCAAAUAAUUAUGACGUUAUCUAGGCAUGAUCAUGUAUAUAGGUGUCACGUCCGCAACAAGUAGACCGACUCCUACCUGCAUCUACUACUAUUACUCCACACAUCGACCUCUAUCCAGCAUGCAUCUAGAGUAUUAAGUUCAUAAGACAGAGUAACGCAUUAAGCAAGAUGACAUGAUGUAGAGGGAUAAACUCAAGCAAUAUGAUAUAAACCCCAUUUUUUUAUCCUCGAUGGCAACAAUACAAUACGUGUCUUGCAACCCUUUCUAUCACUGGGUAAGAACACCGCAAGAUUGAACACAAAGCUAAGCACUUCUCCCAUGACAAGAAAGAUCAAUCUAGUAGGCCAUACCAAACCGAUAAUUCAAAGAGACUCGCAAAGAUAACUCAAUCACGUAAAAGAAUUCAGAGAAGAUUCAGUUAUUAUCCAUAGAUAAAUCUGAUCAUAAACCCACAAUUCAUCGGAUCUCGACAAACACACCGCAAAGAGAGAUUACAUCGAAUAGCUCUCCACAAGAGAGGGGGAGAACAUCGUAUUGAGAUCCAAAAAGAGAGAAGAAGCCAACUAGCUAAUAACUAUGGACCCGAAGGUCUGUGGUAAACUACUCACAACUCAUCAGAAGGGCUAUGGUGUUGAUGUAGAAGCCCUCCAUGGUGGAUUCCCCCUCCGGCAGAACGCCGACGACGGCUCCAAGAUGGGAUCUCGCGGGUACACAAGGUUACGGUGGUGGAAAUUGUGUUUCGGUUGCUCCCCGGAUGUUUUCGGGGUACGUAGGCUUAUAUAGGAGGAAGAAGUACGUCGGUGGAUGCCCGAGGGGCCCACGAGACAGGGGGCGCGCCCUAUAGGGUGGGCGCCACUACUAGGAAAAGGGCUAUAGAUGGGAUGGACACUAAUGGCGCACCUGUCAGGUGGUGCGCCACCACUAUAUACUAAUGGCGCACCAUUUUGUGAUGCGCCAUUAGUGUGGAAGACACUAAUGGUGCACCAGACGCACGGUGCGCCACUAGUAAUAUUUUUUUUCCAUUUUUCCAUACAUACUAAUGGCGCAUCCGGGCAAAGUGCGACAUUACUAGUUCUAACUAGUAAUGGCGCACCAGACAGAGAGUGCGCCAGUACUGUAUUCUUUUUUUUAUUCCUUUUUUUUGCAAAACUACUAAUGGCACUUGAUCUCGAUCCCCCUCCAUCUCGAUCAUGAUUCCCCUCCAUCUCGAUCUUGAUCCCCCUCCAUCUGGAUCCCACCCGCACCCUCCCCUGCUAGCUCCACCGCCUCGACGACCCACCGCAACCCUCCCCCGCUCCACCGCCGCCGACGAGCACCCGGCCCCCCGCACCCUCCCCCGCUCCACCGUCGCCGCCGGCGAUGAUAUUUUCAAGUAACAAAUUUGAAAAUANNNNNNNNNNNNNNNNNNNNNNNNNNNNNNNNNNNNNNNNNNNNNNNNNNNNNNNNNNNNNNNNNNNNNNNNNNNNNNNNNNNNNNNNNNNNNNNNNNNNNNNNNNNNNNNNNNNNNNNNNNNNNNNNNNNNNNNNNNNNNNNNNNNNNNNNNNNNNNNNNNNNNNNNNNNNNNNNNNNNNNNNNNNNNNNNNNNNNNNNNNNNNNNNNNNNNNNNNNNNNNNNNNNNNNNNNNNNNNNNNNNNNNNNNNNNNNNNNNNNNNNNNGCCGAUGAUAUUUUCAAGUAACAAAUUUGAACAUAUUUUUAAAAAAAGUAUUACUGUUUUUAUAAAAAAAUAUUACUGUUAUGAUUUAAACAAGUUUGAACAUAUUUAAACACAAAUAAAUAUCAAACAGCAUUUAAAAUGCAUAAAAAUAUAUUGGGGAGCUUAGGAAUAGAACCCAGGAGCUCCUGGUGUGUGUGCUGCAUGCUGACCAGUCGGGCUAGUGGGUGGGUUCUGGUGUGGAUUGGGUUAGGUGGAAUAUAACCUGAGUGCUCGAACUAUAAUAAAAAAACAUUCUAAUGGCGCACCUCUCCGGGGUGCGCCAUUAGUAAGCUUCCCCCCCUACUCCACCUAUUCCCCUCCCUCCCUUCCUCCCCACUCGACCUAAUACGCCGCCGCCGCGCCUGCACGCCCCCUCCGUCCCCUGCCGCCGCCGCCCCAACCCCUGCCGGACUCCACCCCCGCCGCCCCCGCGCCCCCGCGCCCCCCACCACUACAGCUCCCCCGCGCUGCCGCCCCCGCGCCCCCACGCCCCCACCACUUCAGCUCCCCCGCGCCGUCGCCCCCNNNNNNNNNNNNNNNNNNNNNNNNNNNNNNNNNNNNNNNNNNNNNNNNNNNNNNNNNNNNNNNNNNNNNNNNNNNNNNNNNNNNNNNNNNNNNNNNNNNNNNNNNNNNNNNNNNNNNNNNNNNNNNNNNNNNNNNNNNNNNNNNNNNNNNNNNNNNNNNNNNNNNNNNNNNNNNNNNNNNNNNNNNNNNNNNNNNNNNNNNNNNNNNNNNNNNNNNNNNNNNNNNNNNNNNNNNNNNGUCGCCCCCACGCCCCCGCGCCCCGAGCCGGCCCCGAGGUGUAGCUCUGCUGCGGCGUGGUCUUGUGCCGGCCCCGAGCCCUAGGGAUCCGGCACGACCGCGGCUUCCUCUGGGUCCAAGGCGACCGACCGGCGCCAUGUACGCCCUUGACUGCAGGUGAGCCCCUCCCCUCCACUUCCUUCUUCUUCUGCUUCCUCUUGAAUUUCUCCAUCUCCGGCGAGCUCACCACACCGCGCGAGCUCAACGACCGCUGUGCAGGGCACCACCACGCAGGUGACCCUCUGAAUGUCAAAAUUUCAACAUUUUGAUGGAGUACAAUUGUUACAGUACAGUCAGAAUUGUGUAUGAUUGUGCCUAAAGUAGAUAAUAGUGGACUUUAGGCUUUUUUAGAGGCAAUACUAGUGAAUUUCAGUUAACUCCUUACAGUUCAGAUCAUAUUUUGAUUGUCAAUAAUAGUGGACUUUUAAGGCUUUUUUAGAGGCAAUACUAGUGGAUUUUAGCCUUUUUUACAGAAAAAUAGAGGCAAGACUGUUACAGAAAAAUUCAGUUAGGUACAGUUGCAGAAAAAUUCAGUUAGGCUUUUUCAGAGGCAAUACUAGUGGAUUUUUAGAGGCAAAAUUCAGUUAGGGUUCAAACAAAUUUAGUUAGCUACUGUCAAAAAAUUCAGUUAGGGUUCAGACAAAUUCAGUUAGAUGAUAUUCAAACCUUGCUUGUUGAAUAGUCUGAAUUUUUAACAAUUAACAAAUUACUAACUGUCCACAAAUACAGUUAGCUACUGUCAAAAAAUUCAGUUAGGUACAGUUAGCAUCAUGUAAGAAAAUGACCAUAAUGUGCCCUGAUAAUGAUGUAUUUUGUCAUAAAAAUAUCAUAUUUGUGACGGUUAGCAUCACUUAGGUACAGUUAGCAUCAGUUAGGUACGGUUAGGUAUAGUUAGCAUCAGUUAGUUGUCAUAAAAAAAUUCAGUUAGGUACAGUUAGCAUCAGUUAGGUACAGUUAGCUACUGUCAGGCUUGUUAGAUUAAUUUUCAGUUUACUUGACUUUCAUGUAUGCUAUCCCCAUUGAUUUUGGGGGCUUUAUUGCUUUGCUUGGAUUUUGAUUUUGAUUUCUACUAUUGGAUUGGGUUGAGGACAAGUUUUGUAGGUCUGGACCUUCAAAUUCCAUUCCUAGGUAGGGUAGCAACAACCAGUAGCUUAAUUACUUAGUUUUGACUACCUGUCUGUCAAUCUCUAGGCCUGUAGCUGUAGCCUCUAGAAUUCAAUUUAGAUAAGCACCUAUCUAUCAUAUUUUUCAUUUCAUUCUCACUUCGUUUCACCUACAUAUAUAUGUUAUAUAUCCUCCCUCUCCACAAACAAACAUAGAUAGACCAUUUCUUACUCUAGAUAGGUAUGUACCCAAUUCCUACACUAGAUACAUAGAUAGGCAGCAGCAGCUUAACUGCUCCCAAAUCCUCCUCCUUCAAGGACCACUUCUGCCAUUUCUUUGCUCCAUAUAAAUUGCAGACAAACAAGUUAAUGUGCUCAUAUAUUCACAUUACAGUCAGUCAAACAAAUUAAUGUGCUUAAUUUAUCUCAUGUUGAUCUCAUGAGUUAGGUACAGUUUGCCGGAACGGAAGUUAACCUGGGCCUAGUUAAGUAUAGGCUUGGGCUUGUGGUUGAAUGCUACCGUUUUCCUAGCCAUGUAUUUUCAGAAUUGAGCUAAAGACUUGGGGGUAGUAUUUCUGAUUUUAGAGCACCUUUGUUGGAUGUAUUUUACAGCAGCUGUUGGAAUCAAAACAAUGCUUGUGGGUUGUCCUGUUAAGUUGAGUGAGUCGCUAGAGGGCAGAUAGUCACCCACACCAAUUAAUGUUUAUGAAGAAGAAGAAUAAACCUGCUGUUGCUGCUGUUAUGCCUGUAUUCACUGUUGCUGCUGCUGUACUUGUGAUCUUGUUGUACUUGUGAUGAUGCUACUUGUGAUCUUCUGAAAUGACCCAUUGGUGACUUCAUUACGCGGCGACAAUGAUUUUGCAGGUACCCCGAGAGGCCCUUGAGUUUGCUGGAAUGUCGAUUAACUUCCAUUCCAGCAAAUUCGGGUACUCCAUAUGUACUAUUUUCAGCAAAGGUCAUGCUGAAAUUUUCCGUGAAUUUUAGCAUGACUUUGCUAAAAAUAGGGCAUAUGGGGUACUUGCGACUAAUGCCUGUUAUCAUGCAUGUUUUAUGAUCUGUUGUAAGGGUACUAAUUGGUCUCUUCUGCUGCUUAUCAGAGAUGGCGGGAAGCAGCCACCGCCGCUCUGCGACACCGCAGUACGAGUUGGAUGCUUCCGAGUUCUUCAGUAUCAUACUUGGGACUUCAGUAUCAUCCAUGACGCAGGUAUAUAAAACGAGAGAUCUCCCCUUCACCCAUCUCAUUAUGAUAUCUGUUGUUUGCUACAUCACUCAUUGUCCCAAACUGCAGAGGCUGCCUGACAGUUUUAUGAACAUGCUGGGUGAAGAUCCGCCAAAUAAUGUGAAGCCGCGACAGGCCGGCAGUGGGUUUCGCAGGCAGUGGGAUGUGGAGUUGGUGAUCAAGGAGGGCCACAUGUACUUGUCUCGUGGGUGGGAGAAGUUCUACCGUGCCUACGACCUGCGGCUGGGGUUCUUCCUUCUCUUCAGGUACGACGACGACGCCACCAUGCUCAUCGUGAAGGUGUUCAACGCGACUAUGUGUCGCAUGCGCUACGCUGACGAUGAUGAUGCCGGUACGUUCUGCCUCUUCUUAUUCCUCUACAUUUGGCUUUGUCUCACAUCGAUUGUUAACGGUUAUUGUUGCAUUUGGACAGGUAAUGGAAGCAGCAGCAGCGACACUGGCUACAGCCAAAGCAGCAGCGACUAUGGUUGUAGCAAAAGCAACACCGAUUCUGGCUUUAGCGAAAGCAGCAGCGAUUCUGGCAACAACAUAGACAGCAAGAAGGAUGAUCCGGACUGGAGUGCGGGAGAAGAGGAGCAGAGUGGGGAUGAGGAGCUGCAGGAUGACGAUGGGCAUCAGGCUGAGGAUGACCUAGCCCUGGUGGUGGCUGACCAAGGGCAAGAGAUGGUGGUGGCUGACCGUGGGCAAGAGAUGGAGGUGGCUGAGGAUGACCUAGCGAUGGUCGUGCCCAUCCUGCCUGAAGGUGGCCUUGCGAUGGUGGUGGUGCCUGACAAUGACCACGCACCGGUGGUGGCGCCGGAGAUCCCACAGCUAGGCGACAUGACCACGCCAAUUGUGGUAGAAGACUACAUCCCACUGCCUCCACAGCCUCCACCGCCUCGCCGCUCUUGGCGCAUCAGGCUGAGGAAGGAGAAGGAGAAGAACAAUGCAUGAGAACUGAACUUUGUCAGGUAUGUCAGAUCUCCAAAAUGAUAUAUAUAUACUUAGUUACCUAUGUUAUCUCUAAUAUGCUUAGUUUCCUAUAGGUUAGCUUCAUUUUACCUAAGUUGUCUCUAAUAUGCUAACUUAGAGCUUAUAUGCUUAGUUUCCUAUAGGUUAGCUCCAAAAUAACUUAUGUUAGCACAAAAUGAUCAAGUUUACAUAAUAAGUUUAUAGUCUUUUUCUUAUUCUUCUUCUUUUCCAAAAUGACAUAGGUUAGCUUCAUUUUACCUAAGUUGGCUCUAAUAUACUAACUUAGAGCCUAUAUGCUUAGUUUCCUAUAGGUUAGCUCCAAAAUAACUUAUGUUAGCACAAAAUGAUCAAGUUUACAUAAUAAGCUUAUAGUCUUCUUAUUAUUCUUCUUCUUUUCCAAAAUUCUUCUUAUUCUUCUUCUAGCUAGUGUUCUUCUUCUUCUAGUAUUCUUCUAGCUAGUCUUCUUCUUCUUCUUCUUCUUCUUCUAACUUCUUGUUUAUCAUUUUGCAGAUUUGAUUUAAUUCACGGAAGCUUGCAUGGAUGGAGUGCUUCUUUUCCAUUUGUGUUUUUAUUUUGUAUCAAUGUGAAACUUUUGUGAAUCGAUGGAUAACGGUGUUGGAUGAACAAUGUGAAACUUUUGUAAUAUGUAACGAUGGAACUAUGUGUUGGCUAUGUAUGUAUAUAUGAUGGAACUUGUGUGUUAGAUAUGAUUGUUAUAUGGAUGCUUGUUGUAUAUAUUUGUUGGAUAUCUCAUAUGUGAAAUAGUGACCUGAGUUUAAGAAAAAAAAUUAAAAAAAUUGUUACUAAUGGCGCACUACCAUGUGGUGCGUCAUUAGUAUAGUAGACACUAGUGGCGCACUGUGGGCAAAACUAAUAGUGCACUGCGUGGUGCGCCAUUAGUAUACCAGAUACUAAUGGCGCACCAGUGGUGCGCCAUUAGUAAAAAUACUAGUGGCGUGAUAGUAAUGGCGCACCGGUAGUGCGCCAUUAGUAGGCAAAACCGGUGCGCCAUUAGUAGGCCUUUUCCUAGUAGUGCGCCCUACCCUCUCGUGGAAGCUACGGCUGCUUCUUGACUUGCACUCCAAGUCCUCUGGAUCACGUUCGUUCCAAAAAUCACGCUCCCAAAGGUUUCAUUCCGUUUGGACUCCAUUUGAUAUUCCUUUUCUUCGAAAUACUGAAAUAGGAAAAAAAACAGCAAUACGGGCUGGGCCUCCGGUUAGUAGGUUAGUCCCAAAAAUGAUAUAAAUGUGUAAAAUAAAGCCCAUAAACAUCCAAAACAGGUAAUAUAAUAGCAUGGAACAAUCAAAAAUUAUAGAUACGUUGGAGACGUAUCAGGGGAGUAUAAACAUUACCAUUCUGUUUGGGAACCGCCUAUAAUGUGUGUAGCAUGGAAGAUAUCGAGAUCUCAUAGUUGUUAUGUUGACAGUGAAAGUAUACCGCUCAAAAUUUUAUUUAUCUCUCUAUUUCAAAAUCGAGCUCUCGCACCUCUACAAAUCCUUGCUUCCCUCUGCGAAGGGCCUAUCUAUUCACUUUUAUGUUGAGUCAUCACCCUCUUAUUAAAAAGCACCCGCUGAAGAGCACACUGUCAUUUGCAUGCAUUACUAUUAGUUUAUAUUGAGUAUGACUUGACUGGAUCUCUUUUACCAUGAAUUACAAUGUUUAGUCAGUCCUUGGUCUUUAAAGGUGCUCUGCAUUUAUGUUUUGUGGUCUCAGAAAGGGCUAGCGAGAUACCAUCUUGUUAUAUCAUAUUAUGAUUGUUUUGAGAAAGUGUUGUCAUUCGAGUUUUAUUAUUAUUGCUCGCUAGCUGAUUAUGCCAUUGAUAUGAUUAAAUGUGAGACCUAAGUGUUAUUAUGAAUAUGGUUAGUUCAUAAUCUUUGCUAAAAACUUGAAUGCUGGCUUUACAUAUUUACAACAACAAGAGGAAAUAGAGUUUGUAAAAGUUUUUCUUUAUCACUUUCAGUUUAUCAACUGAAUUGCUUGAGGACAAGCAAAGGUUUAAGCUUGGGGGAGUUGAUACGUCUCCAACGUAUCUACUUUUCCAAACACUUUUGCCCUUGUUUUGGACUCUAACUUGCAUGAUUUGAAUGAAACUAACCCGGACUGACGCUCUUUUCAGCAGAACUGCCAUGAUGUUAUUUUUGUGCAGAAAUAAAAGUUCUCGGAGUGACCUGCAAAUCCACGGAGAUAACUUUUGGAAAAUAUAAAAAAUACUGGUGAAAGAAUCAAGGCCAGGGGGCCCACACCCUGUCCACGAGGGUGGGAGCGCGCCCCCUUCCCCUGGGCGCGCUGAUACAUCUCCAAUGUAUCUAUAAUUUUUGAUUGUUCCAUGCUAUUAUAUUACCCCUUUUGGAUGUUUAUGGGCUUUAUUUUACACAUUUAUAUCAUUUUUGGGACUAACCUACUAACCGGAGGCCCAGUCCGUAUUGCUGUUUUUUUGCCUAUUUCAGUAUUUCGAAGAAAAGGAAUAUCAAACGGAGUCCAAACGGAAUGAAAACUUCGGGAGCGUGAUUUUUGGAACGAACGUGAUCCGGAGAGCUUGGAGUGCAAGUCAAGAAGCUGCCGAGGAAGCCACGAGAUAGGAGGCCGUCCCCCCCCCUGUAGGGCGCGCCCCCUGUCUUGUGGGCCCCUCGGGAGGCCACCGACGUACUUCUUCCUCCUAUAUAUACCUAUGUAUCCCGAAAACAUCCAGGAGCACCACGAAACACAAUUUCCACCGUCGUAACCUUCUGUAUCCGCGAGAUCCCAUCUUGGAGCCUUCGCCGGCACUCUGCUGGAGUGGGAAUCGACCACGGAGGGCUUCUAGAUCAACAUCCUUGCCCCUCCGAUGAGUUGUGAGUAGUUUACCACAGACCUACGGGUCCAUAGUUAUUAGCUAGAUGGCUUCUUCUCUCUUUUUGGAUCUCAAUACAAUGUUCUCCCCCUCUCUUGUGGAGAUCUAUUCGAUGUAAUCUCUUUUUGCGGUGUGUUUGUCUAGAUCCGAUGAAUUGUGGAUUUAUGAUCAGAUUUAUCUGUGGAUAAUAAUUGAAUCUUCCCUGAAUUCUUUUAUGUAUGAUUGAGUUAUCUUUGCAAGUCUCUUCGAAUUAUCAGUUUGGUUUGGCAUACUAGAUUGAUCUUUCUUGCCAUGGGAGAAGUGAUUAGCUUUGGGUUCAAUCUUGCGGUGUUCUUACCCAAUGACAGAAAGGGUUGCAAGACACGUAUUGCAUUGUUGCCAUCGAGGAUAACAAGAUGGGGUUUAUAUCAUAUUGCAUGAGUUUAUCCCUCUACAUCAUGUCAUCUUGCUUAAUGCGUUACUCUGUUCUUAUGAACUUAAUAAUCUAGAUGCAGGCAGGAGUCGGUCGAUGUGUGGAGCAAUAGUAGUAGAUGCAGGCAGGAGUCGGUCUACUUGUCAUGGACGUGAUGCCUAUAUACAUGAUCAUGCCUUGAUAAUCUCAUAACUAUGCGCUUUUCUAUCAAUUGCUCGACAGUAAUUUGUUCACCCACCGUAAUACUUAUGCUAUUUCGAGAGAAGCCUCUAGUGAAACCUAUGGCCCCCGGGUCUAUCUCUUAUCAUAUUUGCUUUCAAUCUACUUUAUUUGCAUCUUUAUGUUUUGCAUCUAUAUUAUAAAAUACCAAAAAUAUAUUUAUCUUAUCUUACUAUCUCUAUCAGAUCUCACUUUUGCAAGUGGCCGUGAAGGGAUUGACAACCCCUUUAUUGCAUUGGUUGCGAGUUCUCAGUUUGUUUGUGUAGGUGCGUGGGACUUUUGAGGAGCCUCCUACUGGAUUGAUACCUUAGUUCUCAAAACUGAGGGAAAUACUUACACUACACUUGCUGCAUCACCCUCUCCUCUUCGGGGGAAACCAACGCUAGCUCAGGACGUAGCAAGAAGGAUUUCUGGCGCCAUUGCCGCGGAGGUCUUCGCUCAAGUCAAGACAUACCAAGUACCCAUCACAAACCCAUCUCCCUCGCAUUUACAUUAUUUUCCAUUUGCCUCUCGUUUUCCUCUCCCCCACUUCACCCUUGCCUUUUUAUUCGCCUUCUCUUUCCAAACCUCCUCCUCUCUUUUUCGCUUGCCGUUUUUCUGCUUGCUUGUGUGUUGGAUUACUUGUUGCCAUGGCGCAAGAUAAUACCAAAUUGUUUGAUUUCUCGAAUACCAAUAAAAAUGAUUUCCUUAAUAUUCCGAUUGCUCCUCUUAAUGAUGUUGAGUCUUGUGAAAUCAAUGUUGCUUUGCUGAAUCUUGUUAUGAAAGAUCAAUUCGCCGGCCUUCCUAGUGAAGAUGCCGCUACUCAUCUAAACAAUUUUGUUGAUUUGUGUGAUAUGCAAAAUAAGAAAGAUACGGAUAACAAUAUUGUCAAAUUGAAGUUAUUUCCGUUUUCACUAAGAGAUCGUGCUAAAGUUUGGUUUUCGACUUUGCCUAAAAAAGUAUUGAUUCUUGGAACAAGUGCAAAGAUGCUUUUAUCUCUAAGUAUUUUCCUCUCGCUAUGAUUAUCACUCUUAGGAACGAUAUUAUGAAUAUUAAACAACUUGAUCAUGAGCAUGUUGCCCAAUAUUGGGAAAGAAUGAAAUUGAUGCUUCGCAAUUGCCCUACUCAUGGUUUGAAUUUAUGGAUGAUCAUACAAAAAUUUUAUGCCGGUUUGAACUUUGCUUCUAGAAAUCUCUUAGAUUCGGCCGCGAGAGGCACCUUUAUGGAAAUCACGUUAGGAGAUGCUACAAAACUUCUUGAUAAUAUUAUGUCUAAUUAUUCUCAAUGGCACACCGAAAGAUCUUCUAGUAAAAAGUGCAUGCUAUAGAAGAAAUCAAUGUUUUGAGUGGAAAGAUGGAUGAACUUAUGAAGAUGUUUGCUACUAAAAAUAUUCCUCUUGAUCUUAAUGAUAUGCCUUUGUCUUCCUUGAUUGAUAAUAAUAAUGAAUCUAUGGAUGUGAAUUUUGUUGGUAGGAAUAGUUUUGGAAACAAUGCUUAUAGAUGAAAUUUUAAUGCUAGACCGUUCCCUAGUAAUUCCUCUAAUAAUUAUGGAAAUUCCUACAAUAAUUCUUCUGGUAAUUUUGAUAAGAUGCCCUCUGAUUUUGAGAAUAGUGUGAAAGAAUUUAUGAUUUAUCUAAAGAAUUUUAAUGCUUUGCUUGAAGAAAAAUUGCUCAAAGUUGAUGAUUUGGCUAGGAACGUUGAUAGACUUUCGCUUGAUGUUGAUUCUCUUAAACUUAGACCUUCUCCUCCUAAGCAUGAUAUCAAUGAGUCUCUCAAAGUAAUGAGAAUUUCCAUUGACGAGUGCAAGGAAAGAACCACUAGAUUGCGUGCUAAGAAAGAUAGCUUUAUAAAAGCGUGUUGUUCUAGUUUUCGUGAAAAUAAUGAUGAGGAUCUUAAAGUUAUUGAUGUGUCUCCUAUUAGAUCUAUGUUUUUCAAUAUGAAUUUUGAUGAUUUUGGGACUUAUGAUGAAUCAACUUUGCCUAGAAGGCGUCCCAAUAAUUCGGAGUCUUUAGAUCUUAAUACUAAAUUUGGUAAAAGUGAGAUUGGAGAAUCCUCAACUUCUAAUAAUGUUGAACCCACUAUCUCUGAUUUCAAGGAAUUUGACUAUGAUAAUUGCUCUUUAAAAAGUUUUAUUUCCUUGUUGCAAUCCGUUGUUAAUUCUCCUCAUGCUUAUUGUCAAAACAAAUCUUUUACCAAACAUACUGUUGAUGCCUUGAUGCAAUCUUAUGAUGAAAAACUUAAUUUGGAAGUUUCUAUACCUAGAAAACUUAAUGAUGAGUGGGAACCUACUAUAAAAAUUAGAAUCAAAGAUUAUGAGUGUUUUGCUUUGUGUGAAUUCUGUGCUGGUGUUUCCACGAUUCCGAAAAAUUUACGUGAUAUUCUAGGUUUCCAUGAUCUUGAAGACUGCUCUUUAAAUAUUCACCUUUCGGAUUCCACCAAUAAAAAGCCUAUGGGGAGGAUCAAUGAUGUUCUUAUUGCUGCAAAUAGAAAUGUGGUACCCGUAGAUUUUAUCGUUCUUGAUAUAGAUUGCAAUCUUUCUUGCCCUAUUAUUCUUGGUAGACCUUUCCUUAGAACGAUUGGUGCGAUUAUUGAUAUGAAGGAAGGGAACAUUAGAUUACAAUUUCCCUUAAAGAAAGGCAUGGAGCACUUUCCAAGAAAGAAAGUCAAAUUACCUUAUGAAUCUAUCAUGCGUGCUACUUAUGAAUUUAGUGCCAAAGAUGGCACUACUUAGAUCUAUCUUCGUUUUUAUGCCUAGCUAGGGGCGUUAAACGAUAGCGCUAGUUGGGAGGCAACCCAAUUUUUCUUUAUGUUCUUAGUUUUUGUUCCUGUUUAGUUUUAAAUUUUGUUUCUACUUUCUGUUUAGAUGUGUUUUCAUGUUUUAUUUAGUGUUUGUGCCAAGUAGAACCUAGAGGAUAUACUAUGAUGAUAGUUGAUUUGAUUCUGCUGAAAAAUAGAAACUUUGUGCUCACGAGAAAAAAAUUUAAUAAAUCACAUAAACAUGCUUUUGCAUUGAUUCGUUUUUCUGCUGAUCAAUAAACAAAUUUUCCAGUACUUCCUAUUUUCGUAGGAUUUUUAGAGUUCGAUAAGUUUGCGUUAGUUGCAGAUUGCUACAGACUGUUCUGUUUUUGACAGGUUCUGUUUUUCAUGUGUAGUUUGCUUAUUUCAAUGCAUCUAUGGCUAGUAAAUUAGUUCAUAAACCAUAAGGAAGUUGGAAUACAAUAGGUUUAACACCAAAAUAAAUAAAGAAUGAGUUAAUUGCAGUAACUUAUGUGGUUAUUUUGUUUUCUUUCACUAACGGAGCUUAUAAGAUUUCCUGUUGAAUUUUGUGUUGUGAAGUUUUCAAGUUUUGGGUAAAGCUUUUAUGGACUAUGGAAUAAAGGGUGGCAAGAGCCUAAGCUUGGGGAUGCCCAAGGCACCCCAAGAUAUUCAAUAAUAGCCAAAAGCCUAAGCUUGGGGAUGCCCCGGGAAGGCAUCCCCUCUUUGGUCUUGUUCAUUGGUAACUUUACUUGGAGCUAUAUUUUUAUUCGCCCCAUGAUAUGUGUUUUGCUUGGAGUGUUGUGUAUUAUAUUAGUCUUUGCUUUUUAGUUUGCCACAAUCAUCCUUGCUGUACACACCUUUUGGGAGAAGCCUAUUUUAUUAGAAUUUGCUAGAAUACUCUAUGUGCUUCACUUAUAUCUUUUGAGCUUGAUAGUUUUUGCUCUUGUGCUUCACUUAUAUCUUUUAGAGCACGGUGGUAUCUUAAUUUUGAAGAAAUUGCUAGUCUCUCAUGCUUCACUUAUAUUAUUUUGAGAGUCUUUUAUAACAGCAUGGUUUUUGCUAUGAUCAUAAAGUUGGUCCUAGAAUGAUGAGCAUCCAAGUUGGGUAUAAUAAAAACUAUCAUAGAAAGUGAAUUGGAUGCUAUGAACAAUUUGAUGCUUGAUAAUUGUUUUGAGAUAUGGAGGUAGUGAUAUUAAAGUCAUGCUAGUUGGGUGAUUAUGAAUUUAAAGAAUGCUUGUGUUGAAGUUAGCAAGUCCCGUAGCAUGCACGUAUGGUUAAAGUUGUGUAACAAAUUUGAAACAUGAAGUGUACCUGGCUUGUGCAUCCUUAUGAGUUGCGGUCAGGGAUGAGCGAUGGUCUUUUCCUACCAAUCUAUCCGCCUAGGAGCAUGCGCGUAGUACUUGGUUUUUGAUGACUUCUAAAUUUUUGCAAUAAGUAUAUGAGUUCUUUUGACUAAUGUUGAGUCCAUGGAUUAUACGCACUUUUACCUUUCCGCCAUUGCUAGCCUCUUCGGUGCCGUGCAUUGCCCUUUCUCACCUUGAGAGUUGGUGCAAACUUCGCCGGUGCAUCCAAGCCCCGUGAUACGAUACGCUCUAUCACACAUAAACCUCCUUAUAUCUUCCUCAAAACAUCUACCAUACCUACCUAUUACGGCAUUUCCAUAGCCAUUCCGAGAUAUAUUGCCAUGCAACUUUCCACCGUUCCUUUUAUCAUCAUCAUCAUGACAUACAUUACUUUUGUCAUAUUGCCAUUGCAUGAUCAUGUAGUUGACAUCGUAUUUGUGGCAAAACCACCAUGCAUUAUUUUUCAUACAUGUCACUCUUGAUUCAUUUCACCAUCCCGGUACACCGCCGGAGGCAUUCAUAUAGAGUCAUAUCUUGUUAUAAUUUCGAGUUGUAAUUCAUAUGUUGUAAUCAAUAGAAGUGUGAUGAUCAUCAUUUUUAGAGCAUUACCUAGAGAAAAAAAAGAAGAAAGGCCAAAAGAAAAAAAAGGCCCAAGAAAAAAAAGAAGAGAAAAAAAAAGAAAAAAAGAAAAAAAAGAAAAAUAAAUAAAUAAAAAUGGCAAUGCUACUAUCUCUUUUUCCACACUUGUGCUUCAAAGUAGCACCUUGUUCUUCAUGUAGUGAGUCUCAUAUAUUGUGCUUCAAAGUAGCACCAUGUUUUUCAUAUAGUGAGUCUCAUAAGUUGUCUUUUUCAUACUAGUGGGAAUUUUUCAUUAUAGAACUUGGCUUGUAUAUUCCUAUGAUGGGCUUCCUCAAAUGCCCUAGGUCUUCGUGAGCAAGCAAGUUGGAUGCACACCCGCUAGUUUUCUUUUGUUGAGCAUUUAUUUAUAGCUCUAGUGCAUCUGUUUCAUGGCAAUCCCUAGAUAAUCUCAUAACUAUGCGCUUUUCUAUCAAUUGCUCGACAGUAAUUUGUUCACCCACCGUAAUACUUAUGCUAUUUCGAGAGAAGCCUCUAGUGAAACCUAUGGCCCCCGGGUCUAUCUCUUAUCAUAUUUGCUUUCAAUCUACUUUAUUUGCAUCUUUACUUUUUGCAUCUAUAUUAUAAAAUACCAAAAAAAUAUUUAUCUUAUCUUACUAUCUCUAUCAGAUCUCAUUUCUGCAAGUGGCCAUGAAGGGAUUGACAAUCCCUUUAUUGCGUUGGUUGCGAGUUCUCAGUUUGUUUGUGUAGGUGCGUGGGACUUUUGAGGAUCCUCCUACUGGAUUGAUACCUUGGUUCUCAAAACUGAGGGGAAAUACUUACGCUACACUUGCUGCAUCACCCUCUCCUCUUCGGGGAAAACCAACGCUAGCUCAAGAUAUAGCACGCCCCCCCUGUCUCGUGGGCCCCCUGAUGCUCCACCGACCUCAACUCCAACUCCAUAUAUUCCGUCUCGCGGAGAAAAAAUGAGAGAGAAAUUUUCAUCGUGUUUUACGAUACGGAGCCGCCGCCAAGCCCUAAUCUCUCUCGGGAGGGCUGACCUGGAGUCCGUUCGGGGCUCCGAAGAGGGGGAUUCGUCGUCAUCGUCAUCAUCAACCAUCCUCCAUCACCAAUUUCAUGAUGCUCACCGCCAUGCGUGAGUAAUUCCAUCGUAGGCUUGCUAGGCGGUGAUGGGUUGGAUGAGAUUUACCAUGUAAUCAAGUUAGUUUUGUUAGGGUUUGGUCCCUAGUAUCCACUAUGUUCUGAGAUUGAUGUUGCCAUGACUUUGCUAUGCUUAGUGCUUGUCACUAGGGCCCGAGUGCCAUGAUUUCAGAUCUGAACCUAUUAUCUUUUCAUGAAUAUAUGUGAGUUCUUGAUCCUAUCUUGCAAGUCUAUAGUCACCUAUUAUGUGUUAUGAUCCGACAACCCUGAAGUGACAAUAAUCGGGAUACUUCUCAGUGAUGACCGUAGUUUGAGGAGUUCAUGUAUUCACUAUGUGUUAAUGCUUUGGUCCGGUACUCUAUUAGAAGGAGGCCUUAAUAUCCCUUAGUUUCCAUUAGGACCCUGCUGCCACGGGAGGGUAGGACAAAAGAUGUCAUGCAAGUUCUUUUCCAUAAGCACGUAUGACUAUAUUCGGAAUACAUGCCUACAUUACAUUGAUGAACUGGAGUUAGUUCUGUGUCACUCUAUGUUAUAACUAUUACAUGAUGAAUUGCAUCCGACAUAAUUAUCCAUCACUGAUCCAAUGCCUACGAGCUUUUCACAUAUUGUGAUUUUCUUAUUUACUUUACCGUUGCUACUGUUACAAGUACUACAAAACUGCUAUCGUUACUUGUGCCACUGUUACCAUUACUAUCAUACUACUUAGCCACUAAAUACUUUUCUGCAGAUACUAAGUUAUCCAGGUGUGGUUGAAUUGAUAACUCAACUGCUAAUACUUGAGAAUAUUCUUUGGCUCCCCUUGUGUCGAAUCAAUAAAUUUGGGUUGAAUACUCUACCCUCAAAAACUGUUGCAAUCCCCUAUACUUGUGGUUUAUCACUUCUCCUAAAGUGAUUUCCAUAAAAGUACCUGCCGCGGCUGAAUCUAAAAGAUUUCUAGAAGCAAAAUUCAAUCGGGCAUAAAAGUUUUGUAUGAUCAUCCACAAAUUCAAACCAUGUGUUGGGCAGUUACGUGUCAUUAAUUUCAUUCUCUCCCAAGAUUGUGCAACAUGCUCAUGAUCAAGUUGUUUAAAAUUCAUAAUAUCGUUUCUAAGAGAGAUGAUCUUAGCGGGAGGGAAAUACUUAGAGAUAAAAGUAUCUUUGCACUUAUUCCGUGAAUCAAUACUAUUUUUAUGCAAAGACGAAAACCAAGUUUUAGCACGAUCUCUAAGUGAAAACGGAAAUAACUUCAAUUUAACAUAUCAUUAUCCAUAUCUUUCUUCUUUUGCAUAUCACACAAAUCCACAAAGUUGUUUAGAUGAGUAGCGACAUCUUCACUAGGAAUGCCGGAGAAUUGAUCUUUCAUAACAAGAUUCAACAAAGCAGCAUUGAUUUACAAGAUUCAACAUCAUCAAGAGAAGCAAUCAGAGUGCUAAGGAAAUCAUUAUUAUUGGUAUCGGAAUAGUCACACAAUUUGGUAUUAUCUUGAGCCAUCGCGACAAGCAAUCCAACACACAAGCACACAAGAGACAAGUGAAAAAGAGGCAAACAGAAAAGAGAGGGCGAAUAAAACGGCAAAGGUGAAGUGGGGGAGAGGAAAACGAGAGGCAAAUGACAAAUAAUGUAAUGCGAGGGAGAUGAGUUUGUGAUGGGUACUUAGUAUGUCUUGACUUGAGCGAAGACCUCCCCGGCAACGGCGCCAGAAAUCCUUCUUGCUACCUCUUGAGCAUGCGUUGGUUUUUUACUUGAAGAGGAAAGGGUGAUGCAGCAAAGUAGCGUAAGUAUUUCCCUCAGUUUUGAGGACCAAGGUAUCAAUCUAGUAGGAGGCUCCUCAAAAGUCCCACACACCUACACAAACAAACAAGAACCUCGCAACCAACGCGGUAAAGGGGUUGUCAAUUCCUUCACGGUAACUUGCGAAAGUGAUAUCUGAUAGAGAUAAUAAGAUAAGAUAAAUAUUUUUGGUAUUUUUAUUAUAUAGAUUGGAAAAUAAAAGAUGCAAAUAAAAGUAGAUGGAAAACUUAUAUGAUAAAAGAUAGACCCGGGGGCAUAGGUUUCACUAGUGGCUUCUCUCAAGAUAGCAUAAGUAUUACGGUGGGUGAACAAAUUACUGUCGAGCAAUUUAUAGAAAAGUGCAUAGUUAUGAGAGUAUCUAGGCAUGAUCAUGUAUAUAGGCAUCACGUCCGCAACAAGUAGAUCGAAACGAUUCUGCAUCUAAUACUAUUACUCCACACAUCGCCCGACUCCUUCUUGCAUCUAGAGUAUUAAGUUCAUGAAGAACAGAGUAACGCAUUAAGCAAGAUGACAUGAUGUAGAGGGAUAAACUCAAUCAAUAUGAUAUAAACCCCGUCUUUUAUCCUUGAUGGCAACAAUACAAUACGUGCCUUGCUGCCCCCGCUGUCACUGGGAAAGGACACCCCAAGAUUGAGCCCAAAGCUAAGCACUUAUCCCAUUGCAAGAAAGAUCAAUCUAGUAGGCCAAACCAAACUGAUAAUUCGAAGAGACUUGCAAAGAUAACCAAUCAUACAUAAAAGAAUUCAGAGGAGAUUCAAAUAUUUCUCAUAGAUAAACUUGAUCAUAAACCCACAAUUCAUCGGAUCUCGACAAACACACCGCAAAAAGAGUUACAUCGAAUAGACCUCCAAGGAGAGGAAGGAGAACUUUGUAUUGAGAAUCAAAGAGAGAGAAGAAGCCAUCUAGCUAAUAACUAUGGACCCGAAGGUCUGUGGUAAACUACUCACAACUCAUUGGAGAGGCCUUGGAGAUGAUGUAGAGGCCCUCCAUGGUCGAUUCCCCCUCCGGUGGAGCGCCGAUGAAGGCUCCAAGAUGGGAUCUCGCGGAUACAGAAGGUUGCGGCGGUGGAAUUAGGUUUUCGUGGUGCUCCUGGAUGGUUUCGGGGUACGUAGAUAUAUAUAGGAGGAAGAAGUAGGUCGGUGGAUGCUCGAGGGGCCCACGAGGGUAGGGGGCACGCCCACCCCCUUAGGGCGCGUCGGGCACCCUCGUGGCCGCCUCGCUCGUUGCUUGACGUCCACUCCAAGUCUCCUGAUUUGGAUUUGUUCCAAAAAGAUCGCUCCCGAAGGUUUCAUCCCGUUUGGACUCCGUUUGAUAUUCCUUUUCUUCGAAACACUGAAAUAGGCAGAAAAAAAACAGCAAUUCGGGCUGGGCCUCCGGUUAAUAGGUUAGUCCCAAAAAUGAUAUAAAAGUGUAAAGUAAAGCCCGUAAACAUCCAAAAUUGGUAAUAUAAUAGCAUGGAACAAUCAAAAAUUAUAGAUACGUUGGAGACGUAUCAGUGAACAAAUUACUGUCGAGCAAUUAAUAGAAAAGUGCAUAAUUAUGAGAAUAUCUAGGCAUGAUCAUGUAUAUAGGAAUCACAUCCGCGACAAGUAGAUCAAAACGAUUCUGCUUCUACUACUAUUACUCCACACAUCGACCACUAUCCAGCAUGCAUCUAGAGUAUUAAGUUCAUAAGAACAGAGUAACGCAUUAAGAAAGAUGACAUGAUGUAGAGGGAUAAACUCAAGCAAUAUGAUAUAAACCCAUCUUUUUAUCCUCGAUGGCAACAAUACAAUACGUGCCUUGCUGCCCCUGCUAUCACUGGGAAAGGACACCGCAAGAUUGAACCCAAAACUAAGCAAUUCUCCCAUUGCAAGAAAGAUCAAUCUAGUAGGCCAAACCAAACUGAUAAUUCGAAGAGACUUGCAAAGAUAACAAAUCAUACAUAAAAGAAUUCAGAGGAGAUUCAAAUAUUGUUCAUAGAUAAUCUUGAUCAUAAACCCACAAUUCAUCGGAUCUCGACAAACACAGCGCAAAAAGUAUUACACCAGAUAGAUCUCCAAGAAGAUCGAGGAGAACUUUGUAUUGAGAUCCCAAGAGAGAGAAGAAGCCAUCUAGCUAAUAAUUAUGGACCCGAAUGUCUGAGGUAAACUACUCACACUUCAUCGGGGAGGCUGUGGUGUUAUGUAGAAGCCCUCCGUGAUCGAUUCCCCCUCCGGCGGAGCGCAGGAAAAGGCCCAAGAUGGGAUCUCAUGGGUACAGAAGGUUGCGGCGGUGGAAAUAGGGUUUCGUGGUGCUCUUGGAUGUUCUCAGGGUAUAUGAGUAUAUAUAGGCGAAAAAANNNNNNNNNNNNNNNNNNNNNNNNNNNNNNNNNNNNNNNNNNNNNNNNNNNNNNNNNNNNNNNNNNNNNNNNNNNNNNNNNNNNNNNNNNNNNNNNNNNNNNNNNNNNNNNNNNNNNNNNNNNNNNNNNNNNNNNNNNNNNNNNNNNNNNNNNNNNNNNNNNNNNNNNNNNNNNNNNNNCCCCCCCCCCGAGGCGUGCCCUCCUGCCUCGUGGCCGACUCGUUUCUUUCUUGACGUCCACUCCAAGUCUCCUGGAUUGCGUUUGUUCCGAAAAUAACUCUCCCGAAGGUUUCAUUCUGUUUGGACUCCGUUUGAUAUUCCUUUUCUGCGAAACACUGAAAUAGGCAAAAAACAACAAUUUGGACUGGGCCUCCGGUUAAUAAGUUAGUCCCAAAAAUAAUAUAAAAGUCUAUAAUAAAGCCCAUUAAACAUGGAAAGUAGGUAAUAUAAUAGCAUGGAACAAUCAAAAAUUAUAGAUACGUUGGAGACGUAUCAAGCGUCAUUCGGAACAGAUAGUCCGCCGGGACCCUUUCCGGAGAUUACUUUUAAAUCAUUGACCAUAGCAAGUACGUGAUCACCGAUACGCAUGGAGGGCUUCUUUCGGUGAUCUGCCUCGACUUUGAAAUGCUUGCCUUUCUUUCGACAUUGAUGGUUGGUCAUAUGGAAUCGACGAUGCCCCAGGGACACAUUCAUCCUGCAUUUGUCCAGGUAUAUACUUUCGGUGUCAUCUAAACAUUGCAUGCAUGCGUGGUAUCACUUAUUUGUCUGUCCUGAAAGGUCACUGAGAGCAUGCCGAUCAUUGAUGGUGACAAACAGCAACGCAUGCAGGUCAAAUUCCUCAUGUUUGUGGUCAUCCCACACACGUACACCAUUUUGAAUCCACAGGUGUAAAAGUUCUUCAACUAAUGGCCUUAGGUACACAUCAGUGUCAUUGCCGGGUUGCUUAGGGCCUUGGAUGAGAACUGGCAUCAUAAUGAACUCACGCUUCAUGCACAGCCAAGGAGGAAGGUGUUGUGAUUGUAGCUCUGCUCCCCAAAAGGAUUAAUGCCAUCCGCGCUUAAACCAAACCAUACGUUCCUUGCGUCACCUACAAAUUCCUCCCAGUACUUUCUCUCGAUUUUUCUCCACUGUGACCUGUCAGCGGGUGCUCUCAACUUCCUGUCUUUCUUACGGUCCUCUCUAUGCCAUCGCAUCAACUUGGCAUGCUCUUUGUUUUGAACAAGCGUUUCAACCCUGGUAUUAUAGGAGCAUACCACAUCAACUUUGCAGGAACCCUCUUCCUGGGGCGCUCGCCGUCAACAUCACCAGGGCCAUCUCGUCUGAUCUUAUACCGCAAUGCACCACAUACCGGGCAUGCGUUCAAAUCCUCAUACGCACCAUGGUACAGGAUGCAGUCAUUAGGGCAUGCAUGUAUCUUCUGCACCUCCAAUCCUAGAGGGCAUACAACCUUCUUUGCUGCAUACGUAUUGUCGGGCAAUUCGUUAUCCUUUGGAAGCUUCUUCUUCAAUAUUUUCAGUAGCUUCUCAAAUCCUUUGUCAGGCACACCAUUCUCUGCCUUCCACUGCAGAAAUUUCAGUACGGUACCGAGCUUUGUGUUGCCAUCUUCGCAAUUGGGGUACAAACUUUUUUUGUGAUCCUCUAACAUGCGAUCGAACUUCAGCUUCUCCUUUUGACUUUCGCAUUGUCUUCUUGCAUCAACAAUGACUCGGCGGAGAUCAUCAUCGGGCACAUCGGCUUGUUCCUCUUGAUCUUCAACAGCUUCCCCCGUUGCAGCAUCACUGUAUUCAGGUGGCACAUAGUUGUCAUCAUCCUCUUCUUCUUUGUUGUCUUCCAUCAUAACCCCUAUUUCUCUGUGCUUGGUCCAAACAUUAUAUUGUGGCAUGAAACCCUUACAAAGCAGGUGGGUGUGAAGGGUUUUCGAGUCAGAGUAAGACUUCGGAUUCCCACAUAUAGGGCAUGGACAACACAUAAAACCAUUCUGCUUGUUUGCCUCAGCCACUUCAAGAAAAUUAUGCACGCUCUUAAUGUACUCAAGGUGUGUCUGUCACCGUACAUCCAUUGCCGGUUCAUCAGCGUGCAUUAUAUAUAAUUAAGUGUGUCAAAAACCAUUACGGAACAUCAUGAAUAUAUAAUUAAGUGACCAAAUUAAUAGAAGUUCAUCAUCACAUUAAAACCAAAGUACAUACAUAGUUCUCAUUGAACAACAUAUAGCUCUCCAGAGCAUCUAAUUAAUCCAUUCAUUGAAACUAUGUAAAAUAUUCCAAUGCAAAAACAAAUGUAAUCAUAAUCGCAAUCAAGGUAGCAAUUGAUCAAACGGCAUAAUGAUACCAAGUCUCGGUAUGAAUGGCAUAUUUUCUAAUCUUUCUAAUCUUUAACCGUAUUGCAUCCAUCUUGGUCUUGUGAUCAUCGACGACAUCCGCAACAUGCAACUCCAAUAUCAUCUUCUCCUCCUCGAUUUUUUUAUUUUUUUCUUCAAGUAAUUGUUUUCUUCUUCAACUAAAUUUAACCUCUCGACAAUAGAGUCGAUUGGAGUUUCCGGUUCACAUACCUCCUAGAUAAAUAAAAUUUAUGUUACGUUGGUCGGCAUAAUUGUCAUAAACAACAAAUGAACCAAAUAGUUAUAAAAGAUAAUAUAUACCACAUCCGAAUCAUAGAUAGGAAGAGGGCCGACGGGGGCGGAUACAAAACCAUCGCACUAUAUAAUAAGAAGCAAUAAUAGAAGUAAGAAAAUUAUACAAGUAUCUAUCUAAACAUACAAGUAAGAAUUUUUUUUCCUUUCAGAAUGAAGAUAAGAACAAGAGGCUCAGCACGGUGGUGCCGGCGACGAGAUCGGCGCGGGCGAUCGACGGCGGUGAAGACGGGGACGGGACAUGACGGACCGCUGAACCUAGAAAAAUAUUGAGGAAAAUGGAGCUUGGAGGUCGAGCUUGGAGAGGAGAAAGCUUAAGUGGUGUGGCUCGGGCAUUCUAUCGAACAACUCAUGUGCAUAGUAGGUGAGGUAGAGCACCACAAAGCUCUCCCCUCGCCGGCCAGAAAAAAUAGAGCAGUGUGGAGUGCUCUGUUCGCCGGCGAGGGGGUAUAUAUAGGCAUCACAUUAGUCCGGGUUUGUGGCUGGAACUGGGACUAAAGGACACCCUUUGGUCCCGGUUCAAGCCACCAACCGAAACCAAUGGUGGUGGGUCAGAAGCGAGGCCCAUUGGUCCCGGUUCGUCCCAUGAACCGGGACCAAAGGGGCCAGACGAACCGGGACCAAUGCCCAGGCCUGGCAGGCCCCCUGGCCUCACAAACCGGGACCAAUGCCACCAUAGGUCCCGGUUCUGGGCUGAACCUGGACUAAUGGGCUGGCCCGGCCUGAACAAAGCCCUGUUUUCUACUAGUGGACAUGGACACCGCCUGGAAGUAGCACACCCUUGUACACAGAAUCGUAGCCCAUUUGGCCCAGUUUAUCUCUAAAAUGGCUUGUGACUGCAACUAUAUCUAUGUAGGCGUAACUCACCAGGCCAAUCAUUUGUUGAAUCCUAAGAAAUUUCUCAACUGCAUCAAUUGUGAUCCUUGUUUUCCGGUACUUGUAGGCUAGGGAUAUCCAUACAGCCAGGGGUGCCAACAAGAACCUCCAUAGUACUGCGCAGUAAGUCGACAAACAUGGAUGUAAAAUAGAUGAACUUGGAGGCAUAUGCUUAUGUACAAGAUUGUGACCAUGAUGAGUAAAAGCAUGUAAAUUCUGUUUUGAAAGUAAAAAAACAUAUAAUGUCACGUAGCGGGAAAAAACUUGGCGAUGGCAAUACCAUAUACUAUGGUUUCAACAACAAAACUCAAAUUUGCUCUGAAGUGGGGAUCUCUAGGGUACUGGGUCAUUUUUUUAAAAGAGAAUAUAUUAAUAUCGCGAAGAUACCAAUUACACCCAGACUCUGCACCUACAUGAUGUCGCAAAGACAUCCCAGAUGCACACAACCAAAGGAAAAAAAUAAAAGCAAAGGAAAAAAACAAAAGGCCCCGCCACAAUGAUUGGCUACUGGAAGACUCCUCCAGUAGCCGCAUACAAACCACCACCAAAUACAAUACCCAAACAACAUAAAAAGUCUUCAAAAGCAACGUCUUCAAGAAGGAAACAGUGCACAAGUGUCGUCGUUGCCCGAUCCAAGAUCUUAGGUUUUCACCCUGGAGAAGUUCGAGCUCUCAAACCAAAUCCUUGAGCAUGGUAAUUGCCAAUCAAAACCAAUGAAGGGUAGACCUUAGAUUUUCACCCUGAAAGUCCCACCUCUGCACUCGAGGAGAACCACCAAAAAUGAAUUCCUCUAGUGCUGCUGCUCUCACUUGACACUGCUACUCUUGAGAGUUAUCAAACAUCUACCUGACUCCAUCGCCUCGACGGUCCCGUCCGUCUAAAUGAUCCUCCAAUCUCAGCCACCAUGACCUUCUCCACAGAUGUCUACAUCAUAGAAAUCGAGAAGCCAACAUGUCCCAUGGUGUCAAGAAACAAUAGAGCUUCGGGUCACGCCCUCAUGGAACCUCGUAGGUUGAAAAUGGACGUGCAUGACCGAAUUCUAUUCAAUCAAAAUAUCUUGGGUAGGAUAUCCCACCGUAGUACCGAAACACGUCGAUGACCAGAUCAAGAAGGACCCAUCAUGCAGGAUGUCGCAAUGAUGCGAUUGGAGCACGAGGACCGCCAUCUUUAUUGUCACGGUAGCAGGCCCUCACGCUGCCACGAUCCACCCCGCCGCCGCCCGACCGCACCCAUGGGCCGAGCUCUACCAACCCACUGUGAUCCAGAUCCAGAUCCAGAUCAGGGGGAUUGGCAGCCCCUCCCGUCGCUAAAAGCCACCGGGCAACCAGGGCGCACCACCGGGUAGAGCACCCGAUCACACACGGAAAGGAGCAGCGCCGCCGCCGCCUUGCAGCACCACGCCAGCAGGAGCUGUGCCACAGCUAGGCAUGCAGGGGGACCGCGCCCAAGGGUGGCCCUGCCGCCGCCGGCACUACCGGUCUUUGCCCGGCAGAGAUCCUCGACGGGGGCGAGGGACAGGGGAGGGUGGAGAGUACUGGGUCAUGCACUCUACGAAGUGCACUUCACUCCAGAGAAAAGCACGAGCCCAAUUCAUGAUGUUUGCGCUAGAUACUUGCUCUUUGAAGUAUCUGCAGAUCAUACUUGGACGGUGUUUAGAUAGGGAAAAUUCCAUUUGGCACUUUUUUUUCCUCGUCUACGCAUAGCUUUGGUCUUAUACGACUUUGCUAGUUUGAUGAUUAUUGUUAUAGUUUGACUAUCGUGGUCUGAUCGCCUUGUUAUUUUUUCUCACCUAUGCAUAGCUUCGGUCUGAUAUGACUUUGCUAGUUACAGUUUUUUUUAUCUGUUGGUGGGCUGUGUGCAUCCUACAUCUUGAGUCAAUAAAAUCCACGCUUUGUCGAAAAAGAUAGGGCCAAUUCCAUUUGCAUAGUAACUCGAUUCCAUUUGCGCAAAACACCAAUGUUCGACUUUCUUUGAAUUUGACUCUAUGUUGUAUUUUGGACUAUUGUUUUGAAAUUCGACAUAAUCUGACAUGUGCCGGACAGGCUAGGCCUGAUCAGAUCGAAGAAAAAAAAACUAGAGCCAAGUGCAAUACACGAUUGAAUUGCACGGUGGUGUGCAAAGAAAAACAACGACCGGUUUUUUGGGGUUAAAUUAGGUUGUGAAAAUGAAUUUACUCUUUUGAAUAAUUAUGACAGAAGCCAAGUUGCUGGAGUGACAAACUUUGCGGUGUAAUUGCAAUGUUGAAAAUUAUUGCUAUUCCCUGGUUAACUGCUUCCAGGCUGCCACCUCUGCUGUAAUUCCCCAAGUUAAUUCUUCAAGAAAAUAGGCAGAGAAACUAAAUUUGGGAGAAAAUGGAACCGUGGGGUGAUCACCAGGUUGAAUCACGGAGGCAUAUAUUGACGUAUUUUCUUAACCUCUCUGAGGCAGAAUUCUUCUAGUUGGGAAAAUUGAAAUAUCCACGAAAGGAAGUAAACCCCUGCUACUGGCGCUACCCAGCUCAUAUGCUUCAACACCGUACUUAAGAGCAUCAACUCGCCAAUGGAAAGGAAGUAAUAUGUCUAGGAUAUUUUCACAUGAGAAAGGUGGGCACCCAUCAUCUCCUCCCUGGACAUGAUGAUCUGCCACAAAAGCAGCAACAAGGGAAAAGACAGUGCAGGCUUGCACGAGUGAAUGGGGGUGUUCGUGUGUCGGGUAGUUAAACUAGAUGUGUGAGUUCAACAAGUCGCUCAAGUAAUGGUGUAACAGUCACUGAAUUUAUGUAUGUCCAAUAGUAACAUGCCUUGUGUUGCUCAUGUUCUUUGAUACUAAAACCUGAAUGGUUUUCUUUCAUUUUACCAGACUGAACCAUGAAAAUAGUUGAGUCCUGAUUUGUGGGGGAAGACUUGUAUGAGAUCUCACAUUAGAUGAGAUCAAUGAGAUCAAACCCCAAAAUUUAUACUUUAACAUUUGGAAAAACUCUGAAAUUAUUUGACAACUUCCAUGUGGAGUAUGUCUACAACUCUGGAAAAACAAAUCGCCUCAAAACUCAAUGUACAUUUGGAGAUUCAAAAAGACAAAUUCGGAUGUGAAUAGUGGCAGUUUUGGUGAAUAGUACCUUAACACUAUUCAUGUUCAAUUUUGUCUUUUUCAAUUAUAUUAAUCUAGGUCAAAUUAGGAGCUAAAACCUUUUGAGGUUGAACAUCAACCAUUGAUGUAUGUCUACAAUUUUUUUCAAAUGUUUGAACAUGAAGAUCUUUUUAAAAAAACGAUUUCAUUGAUCUCACCUAAUGUAAGAUCUCACACAAGUCUCCACCCUGAUUUGUGAUGUUUCUUUGAAAUGAGACGAUGACAACUGUGUUAUUCAUGUCGUCCAAAAGAGAGAGAUGCCUUUCUAGACCCAGGAGCAACACCUUGGGGUUUGGCACAAAUUAAUAUUUCCAGUUAAAAUCACAUAUCUAUGCAGCUAACUUAGAGAAUCUUACAGAUGUGAAACAUAAGGGUGUGCAUAUUAGACAAGAUUGCAAAACGCAAAAGCAUGCCUGCAUAAAAAACAUUGAAAAUUUCUUAUCACCCACUGCACUAUUCAGCUUCUAUAUAUUUAAUUUAAAGAACUAUGAGGGUAUUCUCACAAAUAUUCAAUAGAAAUAUAGCAUGUUCAUUCAGCUAAUAAAUGGGAUACAUAAACAACCAAACUUUAUGGUUGGCGUGUCAAUACCAAAUUUUCGACAAAUCUUACAAAGAACAACAAUUAUAUCUUUGUUUCAUCUAGGAGAGCAUGCUAAUCAUUCAUGCCAAACAUAUACCUCACCGGAGCUAUGAUGAGCACAACAAUCCAAAGAAGAAAACGUCCUGAAGAAUUUGGAUAUCUUUGUGCACACAUCAUUACUUUCCGAGGACUCCCAUGAUAACUUCAGAAUCAUUCUUUUAAGCAUUGGUGCACAUCUAACUAUCAGUUUCAAAAAAUCGAACUCGUGAUCCUCUCCUUCGAAGCCGUUGAUCUCCACUUCUUCAAGAGCAGUCAAGGAGACAGUUUGGGACCUCCAGUGUGUGGGCUCACAUGGACAAUCUGAUUCGCAUCCUUCUUCCACCUAAAACAAAAAAUAAAUGUUUAUAUAUAACUACACAAUGUAUUGUUGAGAUAAGUAAUCGGAAAUGAGAAUUACCGUACCAAUCUCUGUAGGACGACCUUAAGCCUCCGCAUAGCGGUACGAAUUCGAUCCAUCCCAAGGAGAUGAAACACCAAUGCUCCAAAAGCAUGCCCAUAUGUUGUGAGACGUAGAUCCAAAACAGAGAAGGUAGCAACCAUGUGCUUCUCUACCUCGUGCGCAAAGUUGUCCGCGUCAUCAUGAACAACAGUUGAGCCCUGAAGAAAAAUAAAUAUUGGCAGGAUAUAUAUCAUUCACAAAGAUUACUUUACUCGGAGUUUGCUGUAAAUUGAGUAGGAGAGGGAGCGCACGGCGGAGGCACGAAUGUGCAGCGAAGGCAGCUGUCCUUGUCUCUCUGCCGUCUGCAGAGUCACCUGCUCCAGGUACCAAAGACCAAAAACAACAUGCACCCCAUAGUAGUAGCAGCAAUUCCACGAGACCUUCUCCACCAUUGGUGCCGAGACGGAGAUGAUGCAGAGCUUGGAGGUGGUGAAGGACACGGUCAACUGCUUAAGCGCAGGGGCAACAAUGCUGACACUGUGUGUAAAUCUGAGGUCUACAACAAGCUCCAGCAGCGACGGCGAGUGGACCCUUAGGGAGGUCUCGUUCAACACAAUGCCGUCGAGCUUAAGUGUGCGCAAGCGAGGGCAGCUGGAGAGCAAGGAGUCGAAGGCGUCAUUGCAGCAGGACAGGCACAGCGUCUCGAGCGCGGGGAACUCGACGCCGGCGGGCACGCGUAUGGCCGAGAACAUGUGCAACGCGAUGGACGUGGCGCGGCGGAAGCAAGGCAGAUCGACGACCGGGAAUGGGCCGAACAAGUACGGUGAGAGAUGGAAGAAGAGCUCCUCCGGCUCCAGCCUUGCGGCUGCGCGCAGCAGCGAGUUCACGCUGUCGGCGUCGACCUGCUCAGGUGGCUCCGGGACGUGGAUCUUGAGGAGGGAAACCGCGGGACAGACGCGGCCGAGCGCCGGUUCAAUGGAGCCCAACUCGGUGUCAUGGAGGACGAUCUGGCGAAGAUGGGCCCAGAGGCCGCGCCACCGGCGGGAGAGGACGCCGGUGCGCGCGGCGGCCGCGGCGCAUGGGAGGCGGGCGAGGACGAGGAGGAGCAGGUCGUCGGGGAGGGCGCUGAUGCGGUCCGGUGCGGCGCCGCGUGGAAGACCUAGCUGCUGAUGCCGCGAGGAGCGGAGGCGACUCCCCGAUCUCAACUCCAUAAAGUUUUUGUUUAAACGGACUCCAUGCGAACUUUGCAAAACGAAACGCUGUGGUGGCUCGUGGAUACAAUUUAGAUCCAGGCGACUAUUAAUUCCUCUCCUCGUCGUUGUAAUUCCUUUUUUUAUGUUUUUUCUUUAAAUAAAUGUCACAUCUAUUUUUCUAAACAAGGAACAAUCAAAGUCAUUCACUUACAUGAGCAUACACUCAUCCCUGUGAAUGUUUCAUCUCAUUAAACGCCAUCACCGGAAAGCAUGCAAUAAAUUCAGAAAAAUGUAAGCAUCUAUGUCAGGUCUUGGACUUGAACUUCAGUGGAAAGGAAAUAGCACUGUCCUCAUAGCCAUCUAACCACAAAUUGAUUUGCAAUCUCACAUAUGUUUGGACACAUUAAAACCAUAGUUUUAAAUAGCCGACUAUAACCUUUUCAGCAGGAUGUUGGUAAUGGUCUGAUGUGCAAAUUGGCCGCUAUGACUUCGGCUAUAUAUUAUUUAGAGGUCCGCCGCCGCUAUUUGGCAUAGCCCGCUAUUUAAAACACUGAUUGAAACGACACACUCUUCCGACUCUCUCCAGCCAUAGCGUUCACAGACAUCUGAUCCUCAAUACUAAGUAUUUUCAGUUGUUAGACUAGGUGAGAAUCGGACCUAGUCAGCCUUUGCUCACUAUUUAGAAUCACGCUCUAACGGACUCACUUACAGGCUGGUCAUAGUGGGGUAACUUAGGUGGUAUCAUAUACUUGGGAAUAACAAACAUGCUGAUGUGGCAGAGAAUUAAAGAAGAGAGAGGGGAUUAGAGUAACAUAGGUAGAUACUAUAUCAUGUUAAAUGCUAUGUUACUUUGUGUUAUGCAUGACAAUAUGAUCUUACAUGAUACUAAAAUAGUAUCAUACAUUAGUAUCAUAUGUAUGAUACUAGUACAUGAUACUCACCACUAUGAGCAGCCACAGAAACAUCUAGCAGCCUCCCUACGUGUGUGAAGCUGUCGAUCAUUUUUAGGUCAUACGCCUCCCACCCUUCGGGUGGCGGCUCUUUUCAUCAGCGGCCGUCUCGUGUGGCACGCGGUCGAUGCUGGAGCGAUGGAUCCCAGGGCGACCGCGAUGGUUUCAGACAACGCCUCUCUGAGUGACGACACAAGUCUGUUGGGUUGCACAGUGCGGCGGUGAACAUGAUCCCGUCUUCCACUAGCGGCUCUGAUGAAGACGCUGCAGCUGAGGAUGAGGUGAUGCGGCUGGAAGAGCUACAUUUACCUCAAACCCGCUAUUUGCUUUGUUUAGGAGGACAGUUAGGAAAAAUAUUGUUGCCUCAACUUUUCUCUUCUUGGUCACACCUUAAUUGCCUCACUCAGUUGACCCUGUCAUGCAACAAUUUUGAUGAACAAACCUUUUCCUAUCUGUUCGUGUUACGUGGUCUAUGCUUUCUUUGCGUACUUAGGCUUUUGAAGGGAAUUGGUUGGACUUUUACGCAGGUUUACUUCCAAAACUUAAGAAUCCAUACAGAUGGGGCGCAACACAGCUCAACCAAGUUGAAAUAGAGAAGGGCGCUAUGCAAAACCUCGUCAAGCUAUCAUUCAGAGACUGUCCCAAGCUAAGGUUUCUUCCUGAUGACAUCGCACACAAGGAAUGUUACAAUUUGCCAAAAAGGAUCUUGGGAAAGGAUUUUGUGGCCGUCGCUUUCCCAAAGUUAGUGUUUUCUGUUUCCUCUAUCGUGCAUAUAUUAUGUAUUAGCAGAAUACAUUAGCAAUUUGUAGCUAGCAAUGGCUGACGUGAAUUUGUUACAGGCUAGGCUUGCCUACUAAAGCUAAUUAACGUGAUUCGAUUCUCCGUGUUCAUGUGCAUUUCUUCACCUAGAUUAGAAAUAUGGAACUUCAUAGCCCAUAAUUGGUAGGAUCUGUCAUUGGCAGAAACAAGUAAACUGAUCAUGUACUUUACAUAUUCUGUAUAUUAAUACCUGUUUUGUUGUACUUAGGAUACAUAUAUGCUUUCCACCUCUCCCAGGGUUAAGUCCGCGUGGACUCGGAUCUGAGUCCUAUUACUUCUCUGUUAAUAUAACUUCUAGUUCAUCCUACACGCAUGCUCUUUGGUUUAAAGGCUGUCAAAGAAAACCGGCAUGUGCGCUUUUCAUACUUGUCCUAUUUGCUAGCAUCGACAAAGAUACAGACAGACUGACUGACUCAGUUUGUGAUCAUUAUCAUAUUCUGGGCUGCAAUGUCAAGCACAUUCUGCGAUCAUUUUGGACUGAGGUUUUGCAGUUGUUACAUCAGUUUCUCAACGAAAAUCUGGGCUGUUCUUGUUAGUUGUUACUACUGCUCUAUAUGAGCUGUUUCCUGCUUUGCAUCCAAGACAAGGAGAAAAGAAUGCGAGUCGGACACGAAGUAUCUACACCCGAGCUCAAAUGCAUUGUCAGCGCACAAUCCUGAAGGGGGGAGAACAUGAGAUGCUCUGCAACAAGGCAACCACAUGUGAUCCUCUUGUACAUUACGCUAGCUAGCUGGGUGAAAUGAGUAUUCUGCUCAUCAGUUACUGUUGCAUUUGUUAGACAAGCUUCAGCAUGCCUGCGCACGCCUGUACCUGAUGCGGCCUAUACUUCAGUAGUAGCUCUUCUUGGCCGAUGGCACUUGUGCUCUGUAUAAGCUGUAAUCACUCUUCUGCAGUACAAGUAUCUAUUCAUCAUUAAUCAGCAGGCAUGGGAAACUUUGUUAAUGAGAGCAUGUCCAUAUGCUUCUGGAAAUCCAAUCUGGAAUUCUGUUACUGUAAACUAAAGACUGCAUUCGAUGAAUUCACGAUGAAAUUUGGGAAAUGAGCUGUGUUUUCCUGUUAUCCUUUUUUUCUUUUUUUGGUCUUAUUUGUCACAUUGGAAUCGGAAUGUAUGUAAUUUAUCUAAUCAGUGAUGUUGAUUGAUUGUUCAUCCCAUAAUGCAAAGCUCUUUCUUUGUCCCAAAUAAUAUCUGCUUCUACCAAAAGAAAUAAUUGUAGUGUUUUUUCUUUCUCACCUCUCCCAUCACAAAAGGAAGACAAUCCUUCCAAGGACUGCUUCAAACAUCUAUUUUGAUCAGACACAUCCAAGAAUAAUAAAUAAACAAACAUUUGUAUUUUUGAAACUUAAUAUAAUUGAAAUUACUCUAUGUGUUCCACUAACGACAAAUACACAGCCAGGAAGGCAGUUUGUGGCAGGGGCUGCCAUUGCUAGUACUCCCUCUGUCCGAAGUGUCAACAAAAUGGAUAAAAAUACAUUAUAUCUACAACUAAAAUACUUCUAGAUACAUUCUUUUUUAUCCAUUUUGAUGACAAGUAUUUUCGAACGGAGGGAGUAGUAUACAGCAGUGGACAACAAGAGUAGCAGCUUCUGUUAAAAUAAAUCUGAGAUAACUGUCGAUCAUCCGAGGACCAAGCAAUCAUAAAAGCACGACACCGAGAUUUGUUAACGGGGUUCACCGAUAUGGCUACAUCCCCGGGGCCUGACUACGGGCGCUCCUCCCCGUGACACCGUCACAAUACCGCACACCAGCCACCCGGGCGCCGGCACAAGCCGCCGGCUCCCCCUUGCGCGCCUGUGCUAUUAUGUUGGCAUAGGUUACAUCGUGUGUCUAUCCUCGCUAUAUAUGAGAGGCCUAGGAUACAAGUGUCCUACUAGGACACGACUUCAUAUCCUAUGUAAACACAAUACAACUAUAAGUCCAACUGUAACCUACCUUGUACACUAUAUUCGACACAACUCUAACAAACUCCACCUUGGCAAAUAUUCUUCACCACCAUGAAUUCGUUAAUGCGUCAAACUUUCAUGUACAUUGGACUUGAGCUUAUCCCGUGAGUACCGCUGCUACUCUAAAGACUUCAUGUGACUCCACCUGCAACUUGUAGUCCCUUCUUUUCUUGACCACAGUCAACACUCGAGCGAAAUUAUGUUUCACAUUACUCUAGUUUGCGCUCCCAACUUCCAGAGUAUCAGUCCAACGCCAUCACACACUGAUCACAGACCUGCAUGAAAAUGAACAACUCACAUAUUGGGUGUCACACAGAAGAGUUACCUGAACUCAACAUCACCGCUCCUUUCUUGACUGCAUGUCUGAAACUUGAAGAAAUUUCACCAUUGCUUGUAGUCAUCCCAAGUCAAAUUCGCAGUUGUCUCACCACAUGUAUGACCACCAGAGCCCUGGCCCGUCUCCAUGUCCCGUGCGUACCGCACGCCUCGCCGCUAUUACCGCGUCGAGCCUCCGCUGUCCCGGUCGAGUCUCAAGGGUCGCGACCCACACCACUCAACCCACACUGCAGAGUACCACCGAUCAUCGCCAACCGGUGACGAGUUUCACGCUUCCAUCAGACCGCUGGGCUCCAGUCCAAACUACGCGUCCCUCGCUUUUCCCCUCCGCUGAAUAGGCUUCGAUUCUGUGGAUCCUUACACCGUAGCCCCUCAAUCCAGCUCCACCUUCAACAUGACUCCAUGGUAGAUGAUCAGUCCACCAUGCGCCCCGUCGACUUCAAGCUCUCAUGUGUGCACCGUCUUGAAUCAACCCCGCACCAUAGUCUUGUCGAAGCCACACAAGCCCUCGGGGCCUGCGCCACGUGUUUCCACGCCAGAAGUCGGUCACCAUCAGCAUCAUGCCUUGUGUCGUCGUCGCUGAUCCCACCACCGUCUUCUGUACCAACCGACUUGCGUCGAUCCUGUCAGACUGCCCAGUCCGACCCAGCCAAACUCGUUCGACUGUUUGACACGCUCAAGGCUCCCAAAUCGCCUUCCAAAAAAUUUCCAUCCAUCACCUGACAAUUUCAUCUUAGCUGACAUGACUUCCUGCAACGCCUUCAAGCAUCCUCAUUGUGCCAACAAAUCUUUCACCCUUGUCUGCCAGAACCCAAGGUUUUCAGUUCCAUGAACUUCUCCACCUCAAACCUGAUACCUGUUGGCGCCAUGGUUCUUUGUACGACUGACCCUGCGAAAAAUUAUCCGUGCUUUCUUCUCACACAAUGCCCAAGUACACGAGGUUGUAGUACUAGCAAAUUCCAACCAAAACUUAUUUGGCCUUCACGUGAUGGCUCGGCUCCUUGCACAAAACUCCGAUGCUAGCUUUGCUUUGCCUUGUCCUAAGCCUUCCGGAUGGAUUCGUAUCAUGUACUCCCUCUGUAAACUAAUAUAAAAGCGUUUAGAUCAUUACUUUAGUAUUCUAAACGCUCUUAUAUUAGUUUACGGAGGGAGUAUCAAUGGAUUUCAUCUUUCCGGCGAUUGAUGCCUGCCUAUCUCUGUGUCACGUGGAGACUCGGUCUCUCUUUUGGUCCAAACAACUCUCACGUCUCCUGUGUUGCACACUAUAUCAGCACUGGCCUACCCAAUCACGUCCAGGCAGCAUCACGCCUCCACCUCGCAGCUACAACCAGGCCUAGCCAAUCAAGCACGCACAAAACCAGCCAACGGGGCCAGCUUCGCACGUCCUAAGCAUGCCCACAAGCCGCUGCCCACAAGCCGCGCUGGCUUCGGCUCGCCCGCCUGCAGCCGUGCAGCUUCCAGCCUUCCACCUGGGCAGCGGCCCGCCUGCCCGAUCGAUCCGAUCGAUCGCCGAUCGCCGCACGUCUCAUACUGCCGCCAUCACACAAUUCCACUGAUCGCUGCAACUCGCCGAGAUCGCCACGUAAUUCUUUUGAUUCGCUUUCUCCGAUCACGUUGAGAACCACGCCCUUGCUGCAUCUCAGACUUGAUCUUCCUCUAAAUCAACAAUCCAUAACCUUCGAACAACCUAGCUCAUGAUACCAUUUGUUAGAAUAAAUCCGAGGCCACUGUCGAUCAUCCGAGGACCAAGUAAUCACAAAAGCACGAUACCGAGAUUUGUUAACGAGGUUCACCGAUAUGGCUACAUCCCCGGGGCCUGACUACGAGCGCUUCUCCUCGUGACACCGUCACAAUACCGCACACCGGCCACCCGGGCGCCGGCACAAGGCGCCGGCUCCCCCUUGCGCGCCUGUGCUAUUAUGUUAGCAUAGGUUAAAUCGUGUGUCUACCCUCACUAUAUAUGAGAGGCCUAGGAUACAAGUGUCCUACUAGGACACGACUCCAUAUCCUAUGUAAACACAAUACAACUACAAGUCCAACUGUAACCUACCUUGUACACUAUAUUCGACACAACUCUAACAGCUUCUGGACCAUAUCAGCAUUGCUGGAGCUGGAACAGAUGACUCUUCUGGCCCUUCAUGCAUCAUCCUGAUGUAAAGGCCGAGGGUCAUCCUCCUUUUCGAAAAAAAUAUGCCGGGUAACUGACAGUGUCAAUGGCAGCAAAGAGGAAAAGAAAGCAUCCAUGUCUUGGUGCACUUGGGGGUGCACCAUCCUGAAGGGAAGAAUAUGAGGGACUCUGCAACCAGUAAUGCCGAUUAUGCAGCUGGAAACUCACGCUGGAAUAAUGUUACUGCAAACUAAAACUGCAUUUCAGAAAAUUCGUGAUGGAAUUGGUGAGAGCAAUGUUUAAUGUGGUUUUACGAAUCUAUCAUGUGCAAAAGAAAAAAAAAAGGUAUGCAAACAUAGUGAAAAAUGCUUCUCGGUGACAAUCUUUAUCCGUAAAUAUUCUCAGUGAGAAAAAAAAUUAUGUUACUGCCUACAACAUACAGAUGUAUAUAAAUAUAUAUUAAAGUGUAGAUUUAUUCAUUUUUCUCUGUAUAUAAUCAUUUGUUGAAAUCUCUAGAAAGACUACUCCUUUAAAAACGAAGAAGUGAGUAUGUCCUAUGAGGUGAAGCCCUGCUCCCGAUGAUUCUGAACAGCGGACAUGGAGCACUGCCAAAGGUCAAGAACCCCAGUGGGAAGUGGCAAUUGGGAACUCAGCUGCUGCUAGCUGGUUUAGAUCUGACCUCCAUCGGGGCUUGCUUACCGGCGACGCGCUGCACACAGCGAGUAGUACAGUAGUAGAUUGGUUUACGAUGCAUCCAACAAGCGCGCAUCUUUUGCACAACACCCAUGCAUGCGCACCAAUGCCGGCCCCUCGUGGAUGCACGUGGUCGCCACCUUCAUCAACAAACGACGUCCCAGCAGGAAAAACAAAAGACGAUGUGGUCUCUUGCGGUCGCACGGCGAUCAACAUCAACGGCGAGAUCGGCCCCUUCUUCCCUACUCUAUGUAGGGUGCGCCAAGGCGAUCUCUUCUCCCUGUUUCUCUUUAAUAUGGUCGUGGACGCUUUGGCCUUCAUUCUGGAUAAGGCAAAAGCCGCUGGCCACAUCCGAGGGAUUACCCCCCACCUCUCUGGGGGCUCGGGGAUCUCCAUCCUCCAGUAUGCUGACGACACGAUCAUCAUGAUCGAAGGCUCGGAGAUGGACAUCGCCAACCUAAAGUCCUCCUUCUUUGCUUCCAACAGAUGUCGGGCCUCAAGAUCAACUUCGACAAGAGCGACGUUAUGGUGAUGGGAUAUUCCCCCUCUGAGUCUGUGGCCAUUGCCAAUAGACUUAAUUGCCGUCUGGGCUCUUUCCCCACUACCUACCUUGGGACGCCCAUUAGUGACUCGCGUCUCUCUGCCGCGGACCUGCAGCCCUCCGUGACCAAGCUCCAGUCCCGGUGCGAGCCCUGGCAGGGGAGGUGGCUUUCUAAGGCGGCCCGGACUAUUCUUAUCAACUCAUCCAUCUCCAGCCUCCUCUUGUUUCUUAUGAGUUUCUACAGCCUCCAUGAAUCUCUCCAUAAGGAGAUCGCCACAAUUCAGUCCCGAUUCUACUGGGCUGGCGAGCAUGGCAAGCAGAAGUAUCACAUGGUCAGCUGGCCUGACAUCUGCAAGCCCAGGGAGCAGGGUGGCUUGGGUAUCAUGUGCUCUAAACGGAUGAAUAUUGCCCUUCUAUCUCGGUGGCUGUGGCGCAUCGCGCAGGGUCAUGGUGGCCUCUGGCUGGACAUUAUCCGGAAUAAAUACCUGCGAGGUCAACCCCUAGCCUUCUGCCAGAAAUCGGGCGGAUCUCAGUUCUGGCAGUCUCUCGUCCAGUUUCUCCCGGUUCUCCGCAUUGGUACCUCCAUUUCGGUGGGGUCCGGCCUCUCGGCGCUAUUCUGGUUUGAUCGCUGGGCCGGCGACUCCUCAUUUGCGGCCCGCUUCCCCGCCCUCUUCUCUAUAUCCGUCGACCCUAUGAUCUCUGUUGAUAGGGCCCUUCUUGACUUAGGGCGCCUUGCUUUCCGUCGGCCCUUUGGGCCGGCGGAAUCCGCCGCCUGGCGUGAGUUUCUCGACUGCGUUGCUCUGCAUGAGCCGUUGGUGGAUGGGGAUCAGGACCUUGUGCGCUGGCGCUUGGAACCAUCGGGCCAGUUCUCAACCAAGUCACUCUACUUGGCCAUUGCCCCCUCCUCCGCCCCCCUUCCCCUAUCGAUGGUGUGGUCCGUCCGCGUCCCCCUCAAGAUUCGCAUCUUCAUGUGGCAGUGGAUUCGUGGACGGGUCCCGUCUGGUGUGGAGGUUUGCACGCGCAAUGGCCCGGGCACUGGUAUCUGCCCCCUCUGUGAUGUCCCGGAAGACUCCAACCACAUCUUCUUCGCUUGCGUCUCCGCCCAGUUUCUCUGGAGCUGCUUUCGCGAGAUUGUAGGUGGAAGUUGGUGCCACACCAAUUUCCCGGACUUAUUUGCUGAACUCCAGCUGUCCCCCACGUCCUCUCGCCACAUUAGGUGGCUGGAGGUUGGGGUUCUUGCCUGGACUCUUUGGACCGUUCACAAUAAGCUUGUGAUCCAGCGUACUCCUCUUCGUCGCGCUACUGACGCUCUCUACAGACUCUCGGGUUUCUUGCAGCUUUGGCGGCCGCUUAGCCGCCCCCCGGAUCGGGACGCCAUCUCAGCCUUCAUCGCCGACCUCUGCUCGAUGGCCGUCCGCCUAUCGCCGCCGCCCCCGCCGCCUCCGCCGGAGCCUGACUAGACUCCCUGCGCUUGGAGGGCUUUGUUUUUUCUCUUUCUUUUGGGCUUGUUGAGCUGUGCCCUCAGCAGAACCUAUGUACUUUGUUGUGAGACUCGGAUGGUGUGUGUGUGAACCUGCUUUGGUUGUAUGUCUUGUGGCGGUUUGCUUUAUUUAUAAAGCGGAGCGAAAGUCUUUUUGGGUAAAACAAAAGAUGACGCCAUGACAGUAAAUUUCUAUCCAUGUUUUCUUACGUCAAUUACAAAGCACACUGCCUAUCGAGUGCUCAAGGCCAGGUCGCGACCUACAUCUCAAACAUUAUUUAACACAUAUUCCAGUCACUUUAAAUAGGGUUGAAAUAAUGAAGUUUAAAAUGCAUACAAUAUUGAUCUCUGUUCUAAAGGCCAUGUACGUAGCAACGAAUUCAAUAUACAAAAAUCAAAUAAUGGAAUUUUACAUUUUAGUUUAAAUAUAUAUUUUUCAACAAAGGGUAAAUUUUAUUGACACAUAAUGAUGCAUCAAGAGAAUAUGAAACACAAUAAGUACACACCCGGCCUCUGCAUAGGUAGGAUGCACACAGCCAACAUCAACUCGCACAUAAACACACCGACAACCAGCAAAGUCAUAUUAGAUCAAAGCUAUGUGUAGGCGAGGAAAAAGAAAAAAAGCUCCAAAGUAACCAGAUAAACGAGCGGCAAACUGCAGUAAUGACCAUACCCGCACCAACCAUGUCAUAACACCACAAGGACGACGUGGUUCUUCAAUAGCAACGCCUUUAGGAAGGAAGCGACCAUCAAAGUUAGACUCUAGGUUUUCACUCUGAAGAAUCAAUCCGUGCAUAUCCGAGCAAUGCCUUCAAUAAGGUAACGACGUAAAAGAAACAUCGUCAUUGCCGGGUAUAACGAGCCCAGGCAUAGAUUUUGUUUGAAUAUAUAAGAAGCAUAUAAAUUAUCAAAUGGAAAUAAAAUGCAUGGACUUUGUUUGAAGCGAGAGGAUAGAUAGUACGGAGCAGAAGUGAAGAGAGACAUAGUAACCCACAUGGUCGUGCGUGGUACCAAAUUGCAAAAAAUAAAUACACAAGUGAUGUAUACAUUCAAAACUCAGACCAACAUUCAGCUCAACAUUACAUAAGAGAAGUCUACACUUCUCCACAGCUAGGGAGUACUUGGUACUAUUGGAGACAAAAGGACACUCACUUGUUACAUAUGUUUGAGCCAUAGGACUAAGGGCAAAUAUAGAAAAGGUUAAUAUUAAGGAGGAGAAAGAAACAAUAGUAACGUGUCCCAGACAUCCAGCAUUGUACCCACAAUGGUUGGCCGUACAAUCACGAUUCAUAAUGAAAAGGAACAUAUACCUAUUUACAUAACAAAUCCUAUGGUAGGCCAAAAUUGGGGGAAUUCGUGCCUACUUGGCAUUUCACGAGUAAUGAAAAUGCAAAAAAGAUACUAAAUCUCGUGGUAAACGGAAUUCUGAAUAGAAAUCUAACAAAGUUGUUGCCCGAAGACAAACUUCAAUAGGUCUUCUCGCCUCUCUUUGGGUACAAGCCAUCUUGUUGUGGAGCAUACAUUUUAUCCUCCAGGGCUUCUCCUUUCUUCAUCUUCUUCUGCUUUUUGGAGGCAAGCUUAUCUUCACUGGUGUCCUUUGGGUCCACCUCUGUUUCCACCGGUGGGGAAAAAAAUAUGCACUAUAAUUUGACAUGGAGGGGCAAAGUUCUAACCAUGCUAAUCGUGGCGUUUGCGUUUUGCAGCAAUGCGUCACAUUCAUAAUGUGACAUGGAGGAUACGCAAACGCUGGCAUAUUUGCAUUGUCGGUAUUAUAGUGUUUUCUUACAUAAUGUGACAUGCUAUAUAGUGUUUGGUCUCUUUUCAUUGUUCUAUAUGUCGGUAUUAUAUUAGUGCUCUACUUUUCCAUGUAUCACCAAAUCUAUAUUUUUUUCGAUAAUUAGUUGAGACGUACUAAUUAAUGUGCUUUGUAACAGAUGUAAGAAAACAUGGAUCGAAAUUUACCGUCAUGGCAUUCUUCUGUUAUCUUUUCUGCUCGACUGAAUGUAAUACUGGUAGUUUGUAGAUUGUGAAGAAGGUGACGACCGCUUGCAUCGAUUCAUGAGUGACAUGGUGCGCAUCUUGUGGGGCAUUGUUCAAAAGAUGCGCGCGUUGGAUGCAUCAUAAACUAAUCUACUAAACAGCUGUUUGCAGCGUGUCGCCAGUCACCAAGCCCUCAUCGAGGUCAGAUCUAAACCCAGCAAGCAGCAGCUGAGUUCCCACUAGGCCAUGUUCUGUUCAUUGGUGCCGACAUCACCCCACAGGCCAUGCAUAGGGCUUUUUUGAGUUGUUUACGCCCUUCUAGCUACCCUCGGGACAAGGAGAGAGCGCUCCAAGGAGUAGUAGGCCACAGUCAUGCAGGUUAUGGACAGAACUAAACUCGAAUUAAGGAGGUUAGUGCUACUUGCAUUUGCAUCUUGUAUGUAAAUUUUCUCACAUGGCUUAUGCUGUAUGCAAGCCCUUGCAUGCCGGUAUGGACGUUUGGUACCAAGCAGUACGUACAUAUGGACGAGUGGUGUAUGGGUAUCCGUUGAGAGCUAGCACGCCUUGGGCCUGACAACCCUCGUUUUCCGUGCGUUUAAAAAACACUUGUCAGUCCACUUGGGGCUCGUGAAAAAAGAGCUCAAAGCCUCAACGACUAUCGUGUGUAGUCUGUUGAAAGAGAAUCAUCUCAGAGCCUCAACAACCAUCAAUCAUCUCACACGAGAGAAAAAAAUCCCCAAGAACCAUGGCGGAGGCUGUUAUCGGGCAGCUGGUGGUGAAGCUCGGCGGGGCACUGGCGAAAGAGGCGGCAACCUACGGCGGGGCGCUGCUGUGCAAGGAAGCUGCGGCCUUGAGGGGUCUCUUCGGCAAGAUCCGACAGUCCAAGGUGGAGCUGGAGAGCAUGCAAGCCUACCUGCAGGAGGCAGAGCGGUUCAAGGACACCGACAAGACCACCGCCAUCUUCGUCAGCGAGAUCAGGCGCCUGGCCUUCCAUAUCGAGGACGUCGUCGAUGAGUUCACCUACAAGCUGGAGGACUGCAAGCAAGGAGGGUUUGCCGGCAAGAUGAAGAAGAGGCUCAAGCAUAUCAAGACCUGGCGGCGCCUGGCGGCCAAGCUCCAAGAAAUCGAAGCCCAGCUGCAGGAUGCCAACCGGAGGAAGAAGGAUUAUGCCGUCACCGGCAGAUCUGCUUCUGCUGCCGGAUCGACAAGAGAAGGUCAAGCUUUGCACUUCACCAGGGAUGAGGACCUUGUGGGGAUCGAAGAGAACAAGGAGAGGUUGAUACAGUGGAUGGACGGCUGUGGUGAUGGUCUGGAGCAGAGCAACAACAAAGUCGCCCUGGUGUGGGGAAUGCCUGGUGUUGGUAAAACCACUCUUGUUGAUCAUGUGUACAACACCGUGAAAGAGGAUUUCGAUGUUGCGGCGUGGAUAACUGUGUCAGAGAGUUACUGUACUAAGGAUCUACUGAAGAAGAUCGCCGCCCAGUUCAGCAUCACAGUCGACGUCGCCAACAUUGAGAUGAGAGGCCUAGCAAAGUCCAUCCACAACUACCUUCAAGGUAAAAGGUACAUUUUAGUCUUGGAUGAUGUUUGGGCUGAAGGCUUGUGGUCGGAGAUAAGGGAUGUCUUCCCAACAUCUAACUGCACCGGCCGAGUUGUUAUGACAUCAAGAAAGCAGACAGUGUUGGCAACUAGGGAGUUAGCAAUUCACUUGGAACCACUACAAGCACAUCACUCCUGGGUGUUGUUCUGCAAAUCGGCAUUUUGGAAUGCUUGUGACAAAAAGUGCCCGUUGGAGCUGCAGGAAUUGGCCCGGAAGUUCAUAGCAAAGUGUCAAGGCUUGCCUAUUGCUAUUGCAUGCAUUGGCCGCCUACUCUCCUGCAAACCCCAAAAUUCCACUGAAUGGGAGGAUGUGUACAGGUGUUUGGACUCGCAAUUUGCGAAAGAUGUGAUCCCUGACGCUCAUUUGAUCCUAAAGGUCAGCUUGGAGGACUUUCAGUAUGAUAUGAAGAAUUGUUUCCUACACUGUGCAUUGUCCCCAGAAGAUUAUGUAUUAAAGAGGAGAAGAACAGUGAGGAAAUGGAUUGCAGCAGGGUUUAUCACGAAUAAGGAAGAGAACAGAACAUUGGAGGAAGUAGCAGAGGGAUACCUGGUUGAGCUUGUGAACCGGAGUCUAUUACAGGUAGUGGAAAGGAAUUAUGCUGGACGACUUAAGGAAUGUCGGAUGCAUGAUGUCAUACACCUUCUUGCCCUCAACAAAGCCAAGGAGGAAUGCUUUGGUAAAGUUUAUGAUAGCUCUACUGCUACUGGGUCAUUAUCUAUUGAGGGCGCACGCCGCAUAUCUGUUCAGGGGGAAAACCAUGAACACCUGAGCCGAUCUGGUGCCACACAGCUCCGUGAGCUCCAAGUAUUUGAGAGGUCUAUCAACAUUGAUCAGUUGAAACCUAUCAUAACAUCUUCAAAUUUGCUGACGACGUUGGAUCUGCAAGGUACUUGUAUCAAAAUUCUGCCCAAUGAGGUAUUUGACUUGUUUAAUCUGCGUUAUUUGGGUCUUAGACAUACCGAGAUCGAAAGCCUGCCUAAAGCAGUGAGGAGGUUACGAAACUUGGAAGUCUUGUAUGCUGCGCAUUCUAAGCUGACGUACUUGCCAAAGAGUGUUGUAAAGCUUCAGAAGUUGAGGUACCUGUAUGCGUGCACUCCCACCACAUCAGAAACUGUAACUAUAGGCGGAGUCAAGGUGCCUAAUGGGAUGCAGCACUUGGCAGGAUUGCGGGCUCUUCAGACCAUGAAAGCCACUCCAGAGUUUCUGCGUGAAGUUGCAGCUCUGACAGAGCUAAGGACAUUCAGUGUCUGUGAUGUGAGAAGUGAACACUCUGCUGACAUGAGCAAUGCUAUCACCAAAAUGAGCCAUCUUGCCCAUCUCCAAAUUCGUGUUGCAGCUGAGGAUGAGGUGCUGCGGCUGGAAGGGCUAUAUUUACCUCCAACCCUUUAUGUGCUUGGUUUAGGAGGGCAGCUAGAAAAAACAACGAUGCCUCAACUUUUCUCUUCUUGGUCACACCUUAAUAACCUCACUCAGUUGUAUCUGGCAUUCUCUAACAUUGAUGAGAGAACCUUUUCCUGUCUGCACGUGUUAAGUGGCCUACGCUCUCUUAUGCUAAGAAAUGCUUUUGAAGGGAAGAGGUUGGAUUUUCACGCAGGGUCAUUUCCAGAACUUCGGCAUCUAGUCAUAUGGGGCGCGGCACAGCUCAACCAAGUUGGAAUAGAGGAGGGCGCGAUGCAAAACCUAGAUGAGCUACAGUUCGGAGACUGUCCCGAGCUAAAGUUUCUUCCUGAUGGCAUCGAACACCUCAGAAGAGCUGAUAGAGAAACUCCGGCAUAUGAGAGAUUCAGAUGAGUGCGGUGAAGAUUUAGUGAAGAUUGGCCACAUAAGGAAUGUUACAGUUGGACUGACGCAGAAAGGACUUUGGGAAAGGAUCAGAUGAUAUAUCAUCGCUGCUUCAAGAUUAGGGUUCACUUUUUCUUGUUACUACUGCUUUGAAUCGAAGACAGGCAAGAAAAUCAGCAGUGGGUCGUCUUCUUCGACAUUAUGCUGUGUGAAAUGAGUAUUCUGCUCAUCAGUUAGUGGUAUUAUUUCUUGUUUGUAGCUACUCUCUUGGUCAUUGUUACGCAAGCUUCAGUAUGCGCGCACCUGAUGCGACCGAUUCUUCAGGAGUGGUAGGGCUACUUCGCUGAUCCAUCUUUUCAGUUUUUCAGUCUGUGUACUGCCGUUGGCACUUGUAAUCUAUGUAAGUUGUAAUCAUUACUGAGCAAUAUACAAGUAUCUAUUUCUCAUUAUUCAGCAGGCAUAUGCUACAACUUUGUUCAUAAGAUCAUGUCCAGAUGCUGAUGAAAUUAGGGAGGUGUUGAAGGCAGUCCUCUGUUAUUGGAAAAAAAAUUGUCUGAUUUGUCGCGGCAGAAUCAGAAUGUAUUCAAGUGCAUGGCCAGGAAGGCAGUUUUGUUGCGUGUUGAUUGCUGGCUUCAAGGAGCUGCAUUCCAUCGCCAGAGACCAGCUUUGGUGAGGGGCUCCAUCGCCUCCCGGUGUAGUUGAUCUGGUCACUGUUGCCGAGUCCCGGUGAGGGAUGUCGCCACAUCGGUGGAGGCGGUGGGAAAAAUUUCUGGCUCUGAAUACCAAGUGUUAGCACGCGAAUAGUCUAGGUGGAAUUCAGAGAACUGUAUUUGGUUCUGAAUCACUCGAUUACAAGCACACUGGUGCUGAAUUGGAGAACAUGAAAGGGGAGAAAAGGUUGAGAGCCAGGUAGUUGGUAGCCGCUGUUGUUGCCAUGCCGUGAUCAAACUUCGAUGCCUGCACCUAUUGCGACGGACUCUUCGCUGAUCCUUCUUUUGAAUUUUCAGUCUGUGUACUGCCGUUGCCACUUCUAAUCUACUCCCUCCGUUCCUAAAUAUAAGACUUUGUAGAGAUAUAUAGAUGAAUUUUAGAGUCUAGAUUCACUCAUUUUGCUCCGUAUGUAGUCCAUAGUGGAAUCUCUUCAAAGACUUAUAUUUAGGAACAUAGGGAGUAUAUAUAUAAGCUGGAACCAUUGCUUUGAAAUAUUCAGCAGGCAUGCAUGCAUGGUGGAACUUUGUUCAUGACAGCAUGGCCAUAUUUCCGUAAAAAAAAAAGAGAGCAUGGCGAUAUGCUGCUUGAAACCUAAUCUGGAAUUAUGUUGGUGUAAACUAGAACUGUGUUCAAAUUUUCUUUUGUUCUUAUUUGUGACUGGAGUCGGAAUGUAUGCAAGUGGAGUAGCUUUCAGUGAUUUUGAUGGACUGUCCAUCCAUAAUGCAAAGUUCCUGACCUCUGUUUUUUAUAAGGAAAGGAACACACAGUUGUCCAAACAAAGAUUUGUUUUUCCAGCAAGGAAUACUUUCUCUUUUUCUCACCUUUCCCGUCAUGGGGUAAAUGCUUCCCAGGACUUGGCCUCAAGUGCUUCGAAGAGUGUUUUUUUUGUCGGUCGAAAUUUGCAUCUAAUAGUAAUACAGUAACAAAUAAAUAAGCAAUUGUAUAAUUUAAACUGAACUGAAAUUACUCUAUUUGUGUUCCUCUAAUGACAUGUGCAGAGCCAUGAAGGCAGAUUGUGACAGGGGCUGCCACUUGCCAGUAGUACACAUAGCAAAGCAUUUCUGGAAUCGGAACAGAAAACUCUUCUGCCCCGUCUACUGGGUAACUGACAGUAUCCACACAUUCUUCAGACAUGACCAACGUCAGUGUUACAGCAAUUUCCACACGCGCCCCUUGUCGCACGUACAAGUGGCAUUCAACAAGACUGGAUUGCACCAAGGUCUAUGCAGCCAGUACAGCACGGCAGGGGGUUCCAUUAAAUCAGAUCUGGAAUUUUCUUUUUCCUGCCUACAUCGAAGGCGACAUGUAAGGAAGAUCAGCUGUGGCCUGUGGCUCUGGUUAUCAAAUGCAAAUAUGUAAUUCCAUGACCGCGGCAAUUUCUUAGCGGCAAAGAGCAAAAAAAUGUAUCUAUGUCUUCGCGUACUUGAGGAGGGUGCACAAUCCUGAAGGGGAGAAUAUGAGGGACUCCGCAACAAUGUGAAUUAUGCAGCUGGAAACUCAACCAUCUAUCUGAAUGAUGUUGGUGUAAACUAAAACUGUGUUUCAAUAAUGGUUUUAUGGACCUAUCAUAUGCAAAAGAAAAAAAUGUAUGCAGGCUAGCUUCUCAGUGACAAUGUUCAUCCAUAAAAUGUAUGUUACUGCCAGCAGAAUAAAAUACAAAGUUUCUCUGAAAAUGUUUCUCAACAAGAAAAAGGCAUUAUUUUGUCACCUCUCACAAACGUAUUUGUAUCCAGAAUUUACUGUUCAAGCAAUAUUUUUCAUCAGAAUUUAUCAAGAUUAAUGAACAAACAAAUAAACUGAUGUAACAUUUCAAAUUUAUUUGUAGUUGCUCUGCACAGCAAGCAAGGCAGUUUGUACAAAGCAUUUAUACUGGGUUGGUACUGUUACAACCAUAACUUUACAGAUAAGUUACAUAUCACAGUAGCCAGUAGCUUCAGUCUUAGGGUAACAUAUCACACGACCACCAUAUUCAGCAUUGCUGGAGCUGGAACGCAAGAUUUUUCUGCCCCGUCUACAUUAGCCAAAGGCUCUCUAAACUGGUUAUGAAACAAAAACUGGAUUUGUUGUGCAAUAUAUUUACAUGCAUUUUCCGUGCCUCUUCUUGAAAGUAUGUAUAAGCUGUAAUCAGUACUUCGCAAUCUACAAGUAUCUAGUAGUCACUAUUCAGCAGCCAUGGUGAACUUCGUGGCCAUAUAUGCUGCUGGGAACUCAAUUUGGAAUUAUGCUGCUGUAAACUAAAGAGUGCAUUCGAUGAAAUACAUUUUGUCACAUCAUAAUCGGAAUGUAAGUUAGCUUCUCCCUGAUGUUGAUUGAAUGUUCAUCCAAUAAUGCAAAGUUCCUUUCUUGUCUGCAAACGUAUUUGCUUCUACAAAAGAAAAUAAUCGUGUUGUUUUCUCAUCUAUCCCAUCGCAGAAAAAGAAAGACAAUCCGUCCAAGGACUGGUUCAAACAUUUAUUUUGAUCGGAAUUUGCAUCUAGGAGUAAUAAUAAGUAAAUAGAUAAACAUUUCUAUAUUUCAAACAUGAAAUGAAGUUACUCUAUUUAUUCCUCUAGUGACAUGUGCACUGCAAGGAAGGCAGAUUAUUCUGACAGGGGCUACAACUUGCCAGUAGUACAAAGCAGUGGACAACAAGGGUAGCAGCGUCAGUCUCAGCUUCAGGACCAUAUCAGCAUUGAUGGAGUUGGAACACAAGACGUUUCUGCCCCAUCUACUGGGUAACAGACAGGGUCUACACAGUCUUCAGUCAUGCCCAACGUCAGUGUCACUGCAAUUUCCACACGGCUCCUCGUCGCACGCGCACAAUUGGCAUUCGACAGGACUGGGUUGCAUCAAGUCUAUGCAGCCACUACAACACGGCACAGGGUUCCAUUAAAUCAAAGUUGGACUUUUCUUUUUCCUGCCCACGAUCGAAGACGACAUGUAAGAAGAUCGAAGGCGACAUGUAAGAAGACAAAUUGGUAUCGAGAGCAAUGAACAAACAAAUAGAUUGAUGUAAGGUUUAAAACUUAUUUAAAGUCGUCCUACACAGCAAGCAAGGCAGUUUGUACAAAGCCUUUAUACUGGGUUGGCACUGUUUCAACCAUAACUUUUACUCCCUCCGUUCCAAAAUAUCAGAAUUUGUGUGAACAGUGUCAAACUUAAAGAGGUUUGACUAAGCCAAGCCUAGAACUUCAAAUAUGUUGGAACAUAGUCUGUUUCAGUCACAGCAUAUUAUAGGACCAUGUAUCAGAAUUGCUGGAGUUGGAACAAAAGUCUUUUGCUUACUCUUCUGCCCCAUGUGCUGGGUAACAAUAGUGCCCACACAUUCCAUCUCCAGGCAUGGCAAUGUCACUGUUGCUGGAAUUUCCACACGGCGCCCCUUGUUCCACGCACAAGUGGCAUUUGACAGGACUGGGUUGCAGCAACUGUAUGCAACCACGACAACACGGCAUAGGGUUCCAUUAAAUCAACCAGUAGAUCAGCAGUAUUUCCAUGACCGCGGCGAUUUUUUAGCUGCAAAGAAGAAAAACAACCAUACGUUCGCGUGCUUGGCGGUGCGCAGACCUGAAGGAGGGAAUAUGACAGGCUAUGCAACAAUUCAAAUAUGUGUGAAUUUCUGUUGCCUAGCUAGCUAGUUUCUUUGGCAUGCUCAACUUUGUUCAUGAGAGAUUGGUCAACCGCAGGAGAGAUGGUGCCGUAAACUAAAACUGUAUUUCAAUGAACAAGGUGAUGAAAUUGGGGGGCUGAGUUGUGCUUCUGUUAUCCAGCAAAAUAAAAACAAAAAAACUUGCCUUUUAUGCCCCACCGGAAUCAGAAUGUUUAUCAGCGACAAUACUCAUCCAUAAUGCAUGUUACUGACAGCAGAAUGAAACACAUUUUUUCUCUAAAAAUGUUUCCCAACAAGAAAAAGGCGGCCUUUUGUCACCUCUCGCAAACUUAUUUGUAUCAAGAAUUUACUAUUGAAGCAAUAUUUUCCAUCAGAACUUAUCAAGAGUAGUGCAUAAACAAAUAAACUUUUUUUCGCGAAUACGCAGAGGAUGCGUAUCUCUGCAUUGAUAGAAGGAGAGUUUUACAGCAUGAGGUUACAAGAGUUCACUAAGCCAUGUACACAAGAAGGCACGGAAGUGAACUAGGAGCAGAAGACGUGGGGAUGCUCAGCCCACAAACAAAUAAACUGAUGUAACAUUCCAAACUUAUUUGAAGUUGCUCCGCGCAGCAACCAAGGCAGUUUGUACAAAGCCUUUAUACUGGGUUGGUACUUUUACAACCGUAACUUUUACAGUGCAUCACUCCAUGAUAUAUACUUAUACAUGCAUAAGUUAUAGUACCACACAUUGUAUAUAUACCUCACACAUCGUCUUCCUCUGACACCACACUCAAUUCCUCCUCCGAGACCGCCGACAGCUCGGAAGUGAACUGGUAAGACUCCUCCACAUGGAUAUGCCCUUCAUCACAGAAAAAAGGCCUCGAAGGCAUCUGUAGGCCAUCAACCCCAGCCUCCAGGAUCUCAAUGACCUCGCUCAUCGUCGGUCGAUCACGAGAUCUCAUCUGAAUACACCACAAUCCGACAACGCAUAGCUUCUUCUCUAGCUCAUGCAUGUCAACAGCAACAUCAGAUAUCUCGCCCGCUUCUUCCUGAGUCAGCCGGUCGUACACCCAUGAAGGGUAGUACGCCUGGCUUGAGGACCCCAUGUUUGGAUCUGCAUUCCUUCUCCCACCGGCCAUCUCCAGCAGCAACAUCCCAAAGCUGUACACAUCAGACUUGCUGGAUAUGACGCCGAAGCUCCGGGAUAUCAUCUCAGGAGCUAUGUAGCCGACGGUUCCCCGCAUGGCGCUCAAAGGCACGAAACUGUCGCCCCUCGGGUACAGUUUGGCGAGUCCGAAAUCGGCGACCUUCGGGACGAAAUUGCUGUCGAGAAGGAUGUUGUGCGGCUUGAUAUCAAAGUGUAGAAUCUGCAUGUCGCACCCCUGGUGUAGGUAGUUGAUCCCCCUGGCAAUGCCUAGAGCGAUCUCGUUGAGCUUGUCCCAUGAGAAGCUCUUCUCGGUAGAGAAGAUGUACUUGUCCAGAGAACCAUU